UACUACAACUCGCCUCUGUCUCCAUGAUGGUUCUGUAGUAGCCAAAGAUGAAAAAUUCAGGAAAAUUGUUGGUUCUCUCCAAUAUCUUGUUCUUACUAGGCUAGAUAUUUAUUUUGUUGUAAACAAACUAUCCCAAUUUAUGCAUAAACCAUCCACACUGCAUUAUCAAGCUUUGAAGAGAGUAUUGCGGUAUCUUAAAGGCACCCUGUUCCAUGGUCUCUUCAUUAAAAAGGAACUCAUUCCAUCUCUCCAAGUCUUUACGGAUUCUAAUUGGGUAGGAAAUCCUGAUAAUGGGACCUCUACUUUUGCCUUUCUCAUAUAUCUUGGUGGUACUCCUAUCUCUUUAAGCUCCAAGAAACAAAAGACGAUUGCUAGGUCCUCUACAGAAGUUGAAUAUCGUGCUAUAGCAACUGCUGUUUCAGAAGCUACAUGGAUUCAAUCUCUCCUUCAGGAACUUCAGAUCGUCCUACCUAGCUCUCCCAUUGUGUAUUGUGAUGACUUAAGUGCCACCUACAUUUGCAAAAAUCUAGUCUUUCAUAUAAAGAUGAAGCAUUUACAUUUAGAUUAUUUUUUUGUUUGCGAAAAAAGUGAAACAGGGGAAACUUCUGGUUCACCAUAUUCCCACAACACAUCAGUUAGCAGAUGCACUUACUAAACCACUAUCCAAAGCACGGUUUCAUUUCUUUUUAUCCAAGAUUGGAGUCACUAAGGGUGCCACCAUCUUGCGGGGGCAUAUUAGUGUUACCAAUAAGCAUAUGUUAAAGCCACAUGCCAAUAAGCUCCCUUCAACAACAAAGGACAAGCAUUACGGAUGAGAUAUGUUUUAUCAACUUUUUGACUUGUGAUAGCUAUCUUAUCAAACUAGUAUUUUGAUAACUCCAUUAUCUUUGUACUAUAAAUACAUGAGUGUGAAAUAGAAACAAGCAAGACAAUUUUCUUCAUAUUCAAUAUUUAAUAUUGAAUUUCUUUAGUAAUGAUGUAUUUAUUUUUUUUGGUAAAGUAUUCUCAUUGAAUCUUUGCAUUUAUAAUUUGAUAAAAGGUCGGUUGAGUGCUUUGUUUAUAUGCUAUACUGUACUUCCUUGAAACAAUGAGAUGCCAUCAAAAUGAACCAAAAAUGAGCUGGUCAAGGGAGAAAAGGUACCAAAAGGAAUAGACAACUCAACUAUGAAUUAUUCUUCUAAAGUUUGAGCCAUCUCUAAAUCUCAAAAUAGCUACAAAUUAUUGGCCCUGUACAAGACAAACAAUAACAUUACUAUUAACGUAUGAGCUAUUUUCAACAUAAAACUAGAGAGAAAAUGGUAGAGAAGAAGAGUUGGGGAACAAGAUUGCUAAUAUAUUCUAUUCAUCAGAAGUUUAAAUAGUCAAACCUGAUUACAGGAAAAAGAAAAUAGCAUAAAACGAAAGAGUACAAGCGAAUCAAUAGAAAUGGGAGAGAUGGUGUCGCUUUCCACUAUACAGUUGGUACCUAUUACUUAUCAACCUUUUAUGCAGAACAGGUGGGCUCUUUUGCAGAGUCAUUAAUAAUAAGUUUGGUAAAAAAAUAGAAUAGUUAUUAUGUAAUUUAGUAUGAUUAAUGAAAUAUGAUAAGAAUAAUUAUUAUAACUUAUUAUAGUAUUUGGUUAGUAAAAAUAACUUUGAAAAAAAAAUACCUUUUAUUAUAUAUGAUUAUUUAUUUUUAAAUAUUAAUAAUUAAUAAUUUAAAUAUUAAUACUUUAUUUAUAAUUUAAUCAUUAAUAUUUUAAAAUACUAAUAUUUUAUUUAUAAUUUGUAUUAUUAUGAUUAAAAUAUUAAUAAUUUUAAUUAAUUCCUAAAUUUGAAAUAUUAAUUUUUAUAAUAUAUAAUUAAAAACUUAAACUUUUUAUUGUAAUAAGAUUUAUUUUUUAAAAUAAUAUAAUUUAGUAAAAUUUAUACCAAAAGAUAAAAAUAUGCAAAAUUUUUCUUUUUUAAUUAUUUAAUUUUUAUUUUCAUUAAAAUUUUAAAAUUUUAUUAAAAUUUUUUAUUAAAAGAGUAGUAUAAAUUUUUAUUUUUAUCUCUCUUUGUAUUUUUAUUUUUUAUUUAUGUUUUCAUUAAAAAUUUAAUAUAUUAAUUAUUAAAAAAGUAAACAUUAAUAUUUGAAAAUAUUAAUAUUUAUUUAUAAUUUAAAUAUUAACAUACUAAUAAUUUUAAAUAUUAAUUUUUUAUAAUUUAUAAAUAAAAUUUUAAUUUUUUUCCUUUCUUUUUUAUUGUUGGCCACCCAUCGGAAAUGUGGCUGGUGUAAUAAAAUGUCGAUCUAGCGCACCAUGUGGCUAGAUUUGGCCACUACGGAGCCAAAUUUGUGCUUCCCACUACCAGAUCUGGCCGUGAAGUGCUAGAUUCGAUUGUGGGGAUUUGGCUGAAAAGAGCUAGAUCUAGUGUUUCUUGCGACCAGAUUAGGCUAUAGGUUUUAGAUCCAGUGACUCCUUGGUCAUAUCUUUCUAGAAAGCACUAGAUUGAUGCUUUUCGACCAUAUUCGAUCAUAGAGCUGCUAUUGUCACCACCAUUUGUCGCCGUUGUCAUCAUCUUUGGUGAUAAGUGCAAGUUAGAGAGAGAAUGAAAAAGGCAAGAAUGUGAGAAGAGAGAGAAAGAAAAAAGAAAAAUGAGAAGAAAAAGAAGUAUUUAUAUGUCUAAGGUUGUAAUAUUUCAUAUUUAUAAGGGGUAUUUUAGUUUUAUCAAUUUUGAAAGCUAUUCCUCAGCUAUGGAAUAGCUAAUACCAUGGAAAGGCUUGAGUUUAGUUAAGCAUGAGUUUUAACUGAUUUUGAGGAAUAGCUAUUCCUUAACACCAUUACCUACCAAAUGAGGGAAAAAAGAAAAGAUGAGAAUAAAAAGGGAAUAACUUAGCUAUUUCCUAUACCAAAUAUGCUAUAAACAGUAAAACAGACAACAUGCGGUAAAUAUUAACAAGGUGAAAUAAACAAAGCUUAAACGGUGUCACAUGGCUUCAUUUAAAUGAAUCAAGUGAGGUCUUGCACAUGAUUUCUUCUUCAACCUUUCAAACUUAAACAUGCCAUGAAUUUGAUUUUCUUUUUCCAGGUCCACUAGUUUGCAUAGACAGAGAUUAUUUCAACACACCUCCUUAAUGUUUUUCUUGCAAAUACCUAGCUUCAAUCUCAUAGACAAACUUUUCUUUACUCAAUCCUUUUGUGAAAAUAUUUGCUAGUUGCUUAUCUGAAUAGCAAUGCUUCAACAGAAUUUCUUCAGUUUUGAUAGCUUCCUGAAUUGCAUGAAAUUUCACUUUUAUAUGCUUAGUGCGUCCAUGCUGUAUAAGAUUCUUUGCAAUUGCAAUUGCAGAUUGAUUAUCAAGCCACAUGGUUGUCCCAAAAUCCUGUCUAUAUCCCAAGUUAUUGAACAUUUUCCUUAAACAUAAGGCAUGAUUUGUAGUUGAGGCAGCAACAACUUACUCAACUUCCACAGAGGAUUGAGCCACUAUUUCUUGCUUUUUUGAAUUCCGUGAAAAAGCUACACUUUUAAAAGAAAAACAUAACCUGGUAAUGCUUUUUGAAUCAUCCGGGCAUUCAUGUGAAACCCCGUACUUUUAUGUAGUGAUGUGCCUAGACUUAAUAUGAUGUUGACCAAGUGGGAUGUGAAUGGAUUUUAAUUUGAUAUGAGAUUUAAUGUUGGAUGAAUUUUUUCCAACUUUAUUGACAUGAAUUUCUCUUUAAAAAAUGAUUAUAAUGAUGUGGUGUUAAUGAAUGAAUAAAUGUUGGGAGUUGUGAAAUCCCAAAUUUUAUAUAUGAUGGAAAUUUGAGCAGUUGAAUUUUGAUGAAUUAUAUGUUGGUGACGAUUAUCUAUGAGAUUUCCUUAUCAUUUGAUGUAAAUCCUUCUAUAUUAUUGUGUUAAAUUCAUGGAUGAAUGAUUGGUGAAGGAAUAGUUGAAAAAAGAAGCCAAAACAAUGUAUUUUAACAAGUUUAAACUUGAACGAUCGAUCCUUAAUGGUUACAAGUCGAUCUUAUGGCAGAAAACAUGAAAAAUUCCAAGAUUUAAGAAGCCAUAGUCAAUCCUUUAGCUCCUGUAGUUGACCCUAAGGUAGAUUGUGUGAAAGCUCCAAGAUUUUAAAAUCCAUAGUUGACCCCCUAACACUAGUAGUCAACUAUAUUGCCUUUUUGAUAAAUCACUAUAUAAAGUGUUCCACACGAGCCCUAGCCUUCAUUUUACAUUUUCUCAGUGUCCAACUUGUCCCUAAAACCACCAACACUUCUCUAACCUUUCAAAACCACAUUAGACAAAGAUUCAACCUUCCAAAUUCAAAUAGAAGGUAAGAUUAGACAUUUUUGGAUAUUAAUCACAAAUUUUUGAUCUAGCUCUAAGGUCUUGUAAAUUUCAACUCUUCAUGUUCGAAUUUGGGCUAGGUGUUAUUCAAUUUUCUACCCACGCAAGUAUAUGUAUCGCAAAGAUAUUAUAAUGAUGAGUAAAGUGUCGAUCCCACAAGGAAUUAAAUUAAUUCUUAGUGUUAACUACUAAGAUUAACACACCCUAAUUUUAUCUAAACAAUUAAAAUUAAAAUUAAAACUAACAAACUAAUAACUAAAACUAAUCUAAAAUAUAUUAGCAAAAUUAUUUUAUUAACUUCUAGUGAUUAUCAGACCUAAGAUUAUGAUAUCCUUCAAUACUUCAUCUGAAUAUUGUCUCUCUUUCUUAACUUAAUUGAAUAGAUUAAGUUGUUAACCUAGAUCCUAAAUUAUUUAUAAGUCUCUGUCAAGUUUCUCAUAAAAAAUAUCUUUCCUAAUUAAUUUACUAUAUGUCUAUACAAAUUAAAUUGAAGAAAAAUUCAUUAAGUUUGUGCUCUAAUUUUAGCUACAUAUGGCUUAUAGGUGCAUGUCUACUCUAUAUGCAAACCAAACCACCCAAUCAACUAAGUGCAUUUGAUCAUACGCUAUUCUAUUCAAUGUCUAUCGAAAUCUCUUUCAUCAAGGUUUAACCUAGGUUUCCAAAUCAAUAUAAUUGGUGAUUAGGCAAUUAGAAGCAUUAAGAACAAAAUAAAAUAAACAACUUAAAUCCAUCAAACAUAAGUAAAAGAGAGAUAAAUAAAUCAAACUACGUAUUGAGUUCAAUUAUAAUCUUAGAUAAAUGAAUUAGUUCAUCAUCAAGUCACACAUCAUCAUCAAUAAAAUUUAAACAUUAAAAACAAAGCCAAGAAAAUAAGAGAAUAAAUAAAAGAUAGAAAAACUCAAGAAUUGUAUUCUUGAUUUCCAAAUCUUUUUGAAUCCUUCAAAUUUUUCUUAGCUUCAAUGACUUUGUGGCUUGAUCUUGGCUUUCAAUUUGGUGUUUCAUUUUUUCUCCUAAAAGUCCUUCGAAAGGUUGUUUUUAUAAGGCUGUGAAGUUAGGCCAAGUUGGGUGAAGAAAGAAGUCAAUUCCAAUCAAGAUUUCCUCAUCAGAUUACGUGAGCUACGACUUUAACCAUUUAAAUAAUAGGAAUCGUAAUUGUUCUAGGACUGUUGCAUUGCUCCAACUUCGAUAAGAUUUUUGACCACUUUGCAGGCCAAAUUGGGCAAAGUGGUAAACAUAAAAGUUAUAGAUUUUUUCUUAUCUUUCCAAUAAUUUAAGAAUAAUCUCAUUUAAAGCUCUGUAAAGAGAGUUAUGGUCUAAAUAUCAAAACAUGUGUAGUGAAAGUCUACUCUUCAAAAUUGCUCUCAUUCUUUCAUUAAAAUUCUUCUUUCAUUAAAUCUACAAAAGCACAAACAAAUCAAUAAUAACCUAUCUUAAUCACAUUAAUACCAAAUUAACUAAGAUUAGAUUGACUCAACUAAAUUACUAAUUUAAAAUAAUUUAAAUAAAACUUACUAAUUUCUAUGCAUUAUUACAAAAACUAAACUAAAUUACUAUCAAAAUUAAGUCCAAAUAAUUCUAUAUCAUAGAGUUAUCACUAGGGAUUUGCGAGGUUUUGUUUUUCAAUAAGGUUGUGAAGGUAAGAAUGAUCAAGACUUCAUUAUAUAUGAUUUGGGUUAAAAUAUUGAGGAUUGUUGGCUUGAAACGAAAAUAUGGGUUUACUUGCUUAGUUUCGAAUAAAUGGGUUUGCUUGAAAAACAGGAAAUUUAUGUUGGAAAUUAUUGUGAUAGGUUUUGUUGAGCUCGAAUAUUGUAGAACAAGCAAGGUUUGAUGAAGUAAGUCUUAGAAACACGCUUUUGUCAAGAUGAGUGGAUACAUAUUAAAAAAUAUUUUAAUUUGAUAAAGCUAAGCAUGAUUUAUUAAAUUAUUUGACUUGCAUGAUAUAAAUACCAUGUUUACAAUAUUAAAUCAAAUGAUUUUAUCCAAUGUUUUCAAAGAAGUUUUAGAAUCUAUUUAUAUAUGUAAAUAUCACUACUAUUUAUUAGUUUUCAAUAAAAGGGGACAAGUCAUUUCAAACGUUUUACUUUAAAAACUUCAAUUUUAUCAUAGAUAAAGGAUAAAAAAUGUAUGUGGAUAUAUGGAUUACAUGUCACGACCCGGUACUCCCUUCGUGUGAGACCCUAUCAAGCUUGAUUAAAAGACGGUAUUGUACUAAGUGGUACAACUAAGUUAAAUCAAGCCUUGAACUAGUUCAAAUAGAAAUUCUAAGAGGAAUUUGAAAAUUUUGAAACCCACAGAAUGGCUUAGAAUAGUGAUUCGGAGUUUAAGGUCCAGUUUGGAGUCCAUCAGGAAAAUUGACCGAUUAAGGAUAAUACGGUCAUUUUACCACUAGAUGAUAAAAUGGAGAUUUUUAGCCAAGAUUUGAUCGCAUUUGACCAAGAAUAAUUAUAUGAAAUAUAAUUAUGAUUAUUGGAGUAUAAAAUGAUGUUUAGCAGUGAAAAAUUGUGAUUUUUGAUAUUUUUGGAGCACAAGGUCAAAAUGGUAAUUUUGCCACUAGAGGACUAAACGAGAAUUUUUAUAAAACGAUUUUUGCCCCAUUUGGUUAAUAUUGAUCAAUAUUAGUGUUAUUUGAGGUUGAAAAGUAGAAAUAAUGUGAUUCCGAUACAUUUCGGAAUAUAGGGCAAAAUCGUAAUUUUUUCACCCCGAGGGUAAAUCGGUAAAUUUUUUGAACCAGCACUUGUCAAGACCAAGGGAUUUUAAUUGUGGUAGGAUUGGAUAAAUACCAGAAUAUUUGUGGUGGAAAAUUAAGAAGAAAAAGUCAAAAAGUUAAAAAAUUGGGCCAAUAAGCAUGUGACACGUGGCAUGCUUGAUUAUUUUAUUAUUUUCUAUAAAAAUCAGCCCAUUAAAUCCCCAAUUCUCUCACCAUAUUCGGCCUAGGCAACCAGCAACAAGAACAAAGGAAGAACAAAGGGAAAAACAAGAAAACCUAGGUGAAAAUUUAAAGAAAAAGUGAAGAAAUCAAGGAAAGAAGCUAGGUAUGUUAUAAUUUCUUUAAUUCUCCUUGAUACCUAGCUUACCCAUGUCUUUUGUUUUUGAUUUCCAUGGUUGAAUAUUGAGUUAUCAUGAUGAAUUCAAUUCUGAAAAAAUGGGUAUGGAAGAGGAAUUGUUGUUGGAAUAAUUUGAUUUUAGACUAUGUUAGUGUUUAGGGAUAGUUAAGCAUGGUUAUGAACAAAAACACAAAAGAAAUAUUCAAUUUCUCUAGGGUUCCUUGUUGGUCGAACCAUGAGGGCUGAAUAUCAAUGGGGGAUUGUUUUUAUUUCAAGGAAAAUGGCUUGGAAAAUGAUGAAUUAAGGUGAAACGGUUAUGUAGAAAAAAAAUUCGAUGCUAGUGCACCAAAUGACCAAAUUUUUCUAUAAGGAACUGUGAGGGUUCUAAUGCUGAAUUUGGCUUUAUUUAAAUGUAUGUGGUAAAUUAAGGUAUUAGAGGAGAAAUGAAUUAAUUUGGAGGUGAUUUGGACACAAUCGUCGAUUAAUCGGGUGAUCGGUCGAAUUUAAUCGAUACCGUGAUUAAGCGGUAAUCAGACAUAUUUUUGCAUUUACAUAUCAAGCAUUAGUAAUUUAAAUUAAUUUAUAUCAAUUUAGGGACAAUAUAGUAAAUUCCUUGACUUUGUUAUUUGUCAAGGUGGUGAGACGUCCGAAAAAGGCAAAGGAAUUGCGCCUGAGGGCUAUUAGUCCGAGUGCACCCGAAAUCUGGAUUUUCGAUACCGGUGAGUGGACUUGCAUUUCAAACUUGUUUUGGGGAAUAUGAAAGAUUCUAUCCAACUUGUCUUAGAAAAUGUACCUUGGGAACAAGCUUUUAGUAAAAUGAUUUUAUAUUGUGAAAAUGUGCUAUACAAUGGUUUAUGUGUUAUCACAAUAUGAUAAUAUGCAUUGGAUGCUUCUUUACAUGUUGAUUUGAACCCGGCUAUGUGCGAGUAGGAGUGCACAUAAGCCGUUGCUGACCCGACUAUGUGCGAGUAGGAGUGCAUAUAAGCCGUUGCUGACCCGGCUAUGUGUGAGUGGGAGUGCACAUAAGCCGUUGUUGCCCCCAUAGCUUAUAGGGCUGGAUGCUUCGUGAUCUUCCACCCUAUGAGUGCUUUGAUAGGUAUGAUCUGUGGCGAAGUAUGACUCUCCACCCAAGAGCUUGGAGGAGGAGGGAAGGGACUGCUCCGUUGCUUCGUGAUCCGGAGUGAAGUGCACCUCUUGCCGAGUGAAGGGGGGGAUGCUUCGUGAUCUCCCACCCCCUAGUGACAAUAGCAUAAGCCGUUGCAUAUGAGAUGAUGAUGAUGGGAUGAUGUGCAUGAUGAUGAUGAUGGGAUGGUGUGCAUGUUGAUGAUGGGUAUAUGGUUGUAAAUGCAAAUAUGUAAGCAUUUGUUUUGUUGAAAUUUGGAAGUUUACAUGUGUUACAUGUUGCUAUUGUUAUUUUAGCAGGAUGACUUGUUUUAAGGGAAAAAGGAGACUUUUUCCUUGAUGUUCUGGUUCUCGCUGCAGCGAGAAUGAAGUUCGCUACAGCGAGAAACUUUCUGUCCAUUUUGCUAACUUGUGGGUUUUUGCCAUAUAUCCCAUUUCUUUGGUACCAUAGUUGAGCAUGGAUUUUUGUAAAGUGAUUUACUCAUGUGGGGUUUACAUGAGGGGUUUAAAGGAGCUAAAACAAUUGCAUGGUUUUGAGAAAAUGAAUGCAUCAUGAUUUCGAUAAACAUUCCUUAUGGUAUGCUUGUUCCCUUCUUGUUCACUCACUGAGUAUUGGACUCACGUUUUAUAAAAAAAUUCAUGUUUUCAGAUCAGGUGACUGUUGGACCCUAGAUCGAUGAGUCCUCAUAGUGCAUCUCCUGGGUAUGUGUUUGGCAUUUGAUAGUAAUCCUUUUUAUUGUAAAUGUCUCCGCUGAAAGUCAUAGGUCCUUUUGUAUUGUGAAUACAAUCUAACAAUGUGAAUAUGUGUAUGCAAUGUAAAUUGCUAAAUACAUGACUGGUAUAGUGCAUGUAUAUUAUUAUCGAUAACGCCAUUGUGUUUUGGCUAUAUUCACACCCAGGAAAAGGUGUGUGUGUGCAUGCAUGAUAUGAUAAAUUUGUUAAGCAAAGGUAAAUGGAUAGGCUUGCUUGGACUUAGUGAGCUAUGCUCAUUGAGCUCAUAAGCCGGUCAUGGCCCAAAAAAUUGGGUCGUGACACUUCAAGCUCGUGAUAUCUGUUGUGAUGUCUCGAUAGAUAUUCAAUACUCGAAAUGUCAAUCGAGACCUCGCAAGGCUCUCGCAUCAGUUUUACAUCUCCCAUGUGAGCAAUAGUUACUAAAUAUCAUGUUUUAAGGGAAUAUAAACUAUUUUAAAAUCAAAACAAACAAAAAAAUAAUUUCUGCCACGUAGGGGUAUUUUGGUCAUUUUUAUCCGAAAAUUUUAAAACCUGGUAAAAAUACAGCAUACGAUCGAAAAAUAUACAUUUCUUAUCUAAAAAUAAUUUUAGUAAUCUCAAUCAUCCAUUUAAAAUAAAAUUUUGGCUAAUCAAACUAAAUAAAAAUAUUAAAUAAAAUAUUCUAUUUUCUUAUAAAACAACAUUUAUAGAACUCUACGUAAAUAAUUUUUGUAGCGUAAAAGCAAAAUAUAUUCAUACAUACAGUGGCACACGCAGCCAGGUAUACAAAAUAUUCUACAAUGACAUGUGGGCCCUCAAAAUAAACAUAUAUGUACAAAACUAUAGACCUGCGAUUUUUAUGGGUACAAACCCAAAAGUAAACCCUCGACAUAAUCAACGGUCUACAGACUGCCAUGAGCUUGAAAUGGGUGAAAAGAAGGGGUGAGUUUUUAUAAACCCAGUAAGUAAGCAAAUUUCAUCUAAAACAUCUAAAGUCGAGUAAAUGUAGACAAUUCAAAAUAUCUCAUCAUAAUAUGAUUCAUAACAUUGAAUCCCAUUUCAUUCAAUAAAAAUCAACAAGGCUUAUGAUUCUCGUAAAAACUUGGUUCGUGCCAAAAACUUGCACUCGAUGACACCUUGUGCCGGGGUAUCCAACCGAGUCCGCCAAGGCUAUUAAAAUAACAUAUGAGUAUAAAACUCAUUUUUAUUUUUUUUUUACCAUUUAAAAGCACAACCAUUCCUUGGCAUUGGCUGAGUUUCACCUUCAUGUGGUGGUUCGGUGUGAAGUGAACUCUAACGUUACCUUAAAAGAUACCCUUCGCGUCUCUCAUACUAAGGUAAAAUAUAACAAGGUUUGCCGUACUCCUCUGAUAGGCUGGUUUACGAAAACUCGCCCACUGCAGUAAGCUAGUCAAAUAACCCACCAAUUCAAUAAAAUUUUUGACAGCAUGACAUGGCUAAUAUAAUAUUACCAGCCUGUCAAGACAAAGCAAAACAGUUCAUAUAUUCCACACAAACACAAAUCCAGCCAUGCUUGCCAUCACAUUGUCAUAAGCCAUCAAUUCAAACCAUAUGUCAAAACAUAUAUAUAACACAAGUAUACAGUCUCCACUUACUCAAUUUCUAAAACCAGUAUUCAAUUUCAAAACGAGUUAUAAAUCUCAUUUCGUUUAAUCAACACUUCAAUUAUAAAACAUAAUAGUUUGCAAUUUAAAUUCAUUUUUCUUUAAAACAUAAAAACGAGUAUAAACUACUUUAGAUAGUUAAGAUGAAAGUCUGAUUACUCACAAUAGCAGGAGUUUGGAGUACUCCUAUUCUUGGUCCUCGGGCACAAUAUCUUUAUCCUUAUCAAAGGACUCACCACCUAUACAUAAUACACGUCACGUAAUUCAAUAUAUUUGUGCUAAACUGUUAUAAAACUAUUUCAGGCUCUAUAUGAAUGCAUGACAAUGAAUGAGAAUUGUCCGAAUAAUCACUUAAAGACGGUGUUCUACGUGGGUUCAAUUAUGAUCAGACUGAAUUGGCAUUCAACCUAACUCGUACUAUGCCUUAUUUAAUUAGCCAAAACAUCCAAUUCAACUCCAAAUAUCUUCAUUACACUUCCAAUAUUCCAAAUACACCAAAGCACCUCAAUGAGCUUAAUUGUGACUUAAUUCACUGUAACCGAAAUUCAUUCCGAUUUUGAUAUCCAACAUUAUAAUUCAUCAAAUCCUAGCUAAAUAACAUGAAUUACAACCAAAUCCAUCAUCAACAUGCUCUAUAAAAAAUUUGGCCAAAUGAGGGUUAUUGAAGAACAUGUGAUUUUCUUGCUUGUUUUUCCUUCCAAACAUCACAAAAUGACUAAAAACACUAGGAUAUUAUGAAAUCUAGCAAAAUUCAUUACCAAAACUUCUCUCUCUAGAUUUGGCCAGCAAAGGUUCCCUCUUGAAAACUUGAAUUUCAGCCAUGGAGAAUGAAAAAGAAUUCAUGGGAAAGGUAGAUCACAAGCUAAAAUUAAAAAAUCUUACCUUUACUUGCUUGAUUUCUUGAAAUCCAACAAUUUCUCUUGAAUUUUUCUUUCCUAGGGUUUGUGCUUCUCUUUUUCUCUUUAUUCCCUUGCUUGGCAGGCCGUAUGAGUGAUUUGGGAGGAGUGUCUGCUGGUUUUUUAAAGGGAAUUAUUAAAGGAUUAAAAUUUGCCACGUGUCACCAUGUAAUUGGUCCAAGAUUAAAAACUUAACCAUUAAGCAAUUUCUCACAACCACAUGUAAUCCCAUAAUUAUCCAAAGUAUAAAGUGAUAAUAGGUGAAAUUCAUGGGCUUGACAAGUGUCAUGGUGCUGUAAAAUUUCAAUUACGCCCUCAUGGACACGUGAAAUGACCGUUUUGCCCUUAUACUCCAAAAAUGUCGAAAUUGAAAUUUUUCACUCCACAAUUUCAAAUUAUGCUCCAAAUAGUCAAACUUGGUCAAAAAUUUCAUCCAACAUUCCAAUUUUGCCCUUGGGUGGCAAAAUAACCAUUUUGCCCUUAUGUUAUGAAAAUUCUCGAUUGGACUCCAAAUCAAUCCUUGAACUUCGAAUCACCAUAUUAAGACAUUCUAAGAUUCAAUAACUCUAAAAUACAUCAUAAAAUCUUUAUUUGGACUAGUUCGAGGCUUUAAUCAACUUAAUUGUACCAUUAGGUACAAUACCACCUUUUAACGAUUUUUCGAUACAUUCACUUAUGCAAACAUUCUUUCAAGUACAUGAAUGACAUGACAAGUAUAUAAUAGAGUAGGGCUUGAUAGCACUACACCCCUUAAAAUAAAAUUUUGACAUCAAAAUUUCACUAACCAGACUCAGAGAAAAAAUGCGGGUAUUGGUUUCUCAUCUGGUAAUCAAAUUCCCACAUCAUCUCCUCCAUCUGAGCAUUUUUCAACAACACCUUAACUAUUGUAAUGUUCUUAUUCCUUAACACUCGAUCCUUUCGGUCUAAAAUACGUACAGGUUGCACCUAGAACUUUAAAUCUUCUUGUAACUCAAUCGGAGGUACCUCAAGGAUAUGGGAGGGAUCAGGUACAUACUUCUUCAGCAUUGAGACGUGGAAAACAUUGUGAAUUCGAUCCAACUCUGGUGGUAAUUCUAUUAUAUAUUAUCACUAGCCCAAUCCUUUCAAUGAUACGAAAAGGGUCCAAUGUAUCUUGGAUUGAGCUUUCCUCGUUUUACAAACUGGAUCACACCUUUCAUUAUCCAACAAGAUACCACGAUUUAUGACAAUAAUAUUAUCAAAUAAAACUUAAUACCUCAAAGUAUUCAAAUCAUUACCUUUCCAAGGAGAGACCUUAAGAAAAACUUUAUCAUCAACUUUAAAUUCCAAAUCUUUCCUUCGUCUAUCCGAGUAACUUUUCUGCCUGUUUUGAGCUGUCUUUAAUCGCUUUGGGAUAACCUUGAUCUUGUCAUUAGUCAAAUCAAUCAGUUCUACAUUAAACAAUUUCCUGUCACCCACUUCAUCCCAACAGAGUGGAGUUCAAUACUUUCUUCCGUACAGAGCCUCAUAUAGGGCCAUCCUGAUACUAGACUGAAAACUGUUAUUAUACGUGAACUCCACCAAUGGCAAGUGUCUGUCCCAACUCCCAGUAAAAUCAAUGACACAAGCCUAUAGCAUAUCCUCCAAAGUCUGAAUGGUCCUUUUAGAUUGUUCAUUUGUCUGUGAAUGAAAGGCAGUGUUAAACCUCAAAUUAGUUCCGAGAGCCUCUUGGAAUUUUGGCCAAAAUCGAGAAGUGAACCGUGGGUCUCGAUCUAACACGAUAGAAACUGGGACUCCAUGUAAUCUCACUAUCUCAUCUACAUAAAACUUAGCUAGUUUCUCAAUGAAAUACGUGUUAUGGAUAGCCAAGAAAUGGGCGGACUUAGUAAUCUAUCCACAAUCACCCAAAUAGCAUCCUUCCCACUCUGCGUCCACAGUAAACCCAAUAUAAAGUCCAUAGUCACGUGCUUCCACUUCCAUUCAGGGAUAGGUAGAGGUUGAAGAGUACCCAAUGGUUUUUGAUGUUCCGCCUUGAUUUGUUGGCAUGUGAGACAUUUCGUCACAAACUCGAUUAUGUCUCGUUUCAUACCCGACCACUAGUAACUUUCAUCAUCUUAUCAACUAUACAGCUCAUUAAACACGUCGAAUUCAAAACUCAAAUUACCAUGAAUAAUUCUCCACUUUAGUUGAUCACAUAAUCAUCGCCAUAUAUAUAUAUAUAUGUAUGUCCAUAUACAUUUAAGUGCCAUCAUCCGUCACUAUCGAUAAGGACCCUCGUCAACUACGUUCGAACUAAAUUGCCUCUAUUCAUUCUAAUCCAUAACUCGUUCAAUGUCAUAUUUUCAUAGCACAUGUUUCCCCUUUUUACUUUUCUAUUUUAUUCCCAUAGGUCAAGUUUAAUCCAUGAAUAUUAGGGUAUAAUCAACUCCAAAUUACCCUUUUGGAUGUUUGAGUACCAUUUAAUUUACAUCUUACCAUAAAUUGUUUCUUAUGUAAUUCAUACGGAUUCUCAUUGUGCCUAUGCAUAACUUCACAUAAUUUACAUGCUUAUACUCUUUUCUUAUCAUCUCAAUCCUAUGUACAAGCUCCAUCAUACCACGCAUCCUUGCAUCACAAUAUCAUUAACCACAUUUCAAUCAUUAAAUAUCAUUUUCAUCCAAUCACAAUUCGGGAUGCACAUAUGCUUUAGCUUUACGAUUUUAUUGAUCCUUCAAAGGUUUUCUUUAAUUCAUCCUUGCAUCUUAUGCAAUAUCAAAACUCCUAAAAGUCAUCUUCGUUUCUCAUUUACCUUGUAUACUUCCAUCAUAUAUGUCCUUAUUCAUUUCCAUGUUAGUUAAUCACUUAAGAUUUAAAUUCAUUGAAGUCGUGUGCACUUCUUACAUUUUGAAUACUAGUAUCCCUCGUUAGGAAAUUUUCAUUAACUAACUUCAUUAUUAGGAUUACCUUCAAUCAUCUUGUACUAUUUCUUUACACCAAUAUACUCAUACGUUCUCUUUAGCGUCUGCAUAAUCAACUCUGAUAUUUAUAAACUUAAUAUAGAUUUUACUGAGGUAUCCCUCGACAUCAUCGCCAAUAUCUAAUUUCAACCUCACAUCGAGCGACCUCAUAACUUAUGCUUUAACCAUUAAGCUCCUUGACAAUUCCAAGUUCCACAUUUCCUUAUCAUAUAUAUAAAAUAUUUUAAAGCACUACUAACCAUUAUUCUUGACACUUUCAGUUCGGUCUAUUCGUUUCAAAACUCUUAUACAUUGCCAAUAUAUAAGUCAACAAAGAAACUUUCCAAUUCAUUCAUAUCAAUACCUUCCAAAACCUUAAAACUCUAAUUAACGAAGCUUAACAUCAAGUCCAAUAACCUUAAUUCAACUCGUAAGUUCAACUUCCCGUCUUUCACCUCUUAUUCCUACGUCCCAGAUAUGAGGUGUUUCUAGCGCGGCGGCACGGUGGCUGCUGAAGUUUACUUAAUCAACGCUAUUCGUCUAAAUUUAAGGUUACUAUAUUAAUCAUCCUCAACUGUUUGGUUUUCCUCCAAGCUUAUGUCGUAAUUUUCCAUAACUAUUUUAUUCUCUUGUGCUUAUCACAUAUAAUAGACCAAGCCAAUAUUUUCAAAUUCAUCUCAUUCUUUAACACUUGUCAACAUCCAUUACCACAGGUAAGAAUCCCUUAUUACUUUCCUCAAUUUCGACAUAUCUCAAAUUGUACACCACUUAUCGUCGAGAUCUUGGCUUUACUCUCCAGUCUUUUUAACCAAUUACAUUUAUAAAGUGAAUAAUUUACUAAAUUAUUGCAUCUCGCCUUUGCGGUCAUAAGAUCAAAGUUUCUUAAGCUUAAGAUGCAGAACCUUCUUCUUAGAGCAUAUCCAAAAAUCAACAUUUCCUGAAUCUGUUACCUUUGAAGAAAUCAAAUUUAAGACUAAUCAUUUGCACCAUAGUUUGCAUACUAAUCCGAUUAGACUUUUAAAUUGAUCCUUAAAAUAAUUUGUAUAUCAAGCUUCAAUAUAAAUCUCCAUAUGGCAUUUAGACUAGAAUCAACAUUUUCAAGUCAUUUAAUUUCAAACAACUAAAUCCAUAUCUAGUCCUUUAAUCCUUUGGCUCCACACUAAGCAUAGCAAAAUUCAAGCUCAUCCUUAGAGUAGAUCAAUAGAGAAUUCGAGUUCUCGAUCAGGAGGUAGUCUCGGUAAUUCAUCCGAAAAUACAUCAAAGAACUCAUUUACUAUUGGGACAUCCUCUAACUUAGAUUCCCCCUUUGAUGUAUCAAUCACAUGUGCUAAAUAAGUCGGAUACCCUUUCUGCAUUAGUUUCAAAGCUUUGAUAGCCGAAAUUACACAGGAUGGUAAUACUCGACGUUUCCCUGCAAAUACAACUUCUACUCCUUCAGAAUUCUGAAGUACAACUUCCUUCCUAAAACAAUCUACAUUUGUCCGAUGUGCAGUCAACCAAUCCAUACCCAAUAUGAAAUCAAAAUCUCAGAUUUCUAGGGGAAUUAAGUCAACCCUGAAUUUUUCCUCACCAACUCUUAUUCCACAGUCUCUAUAUAACAUGUGUUUCUAACCAACUGCCCUCAUAGAGGGGUAUGAACUAUAAUUUCUUCCUCUAAAAGUGACAGGUUUCUAUCAGAAAAGGAUGCGAAUGUCGUGCUCACAUAAGAUCUAUCCGAAUAAGAAUCAAUUAAGACAUAAGCAUCUCUGUCAAAUACAGAUAUGGUACUUGUCACUACACUGGGUCGGACUCAUGCCUCUUCCUCUCCCGAUCGAUCUAGCGAGAGGUGGGAGUUCACGUCGAGGAGGCAUGAUAAUUUAGAAGAAGAAACAAAAUGAGUUUAUACAACUUCAGGUUCUAUAUGUAGAUGCAUGCAUUCAACUUAAUCUAACCUAACUUGGGGUCACACUGACACUAUAGUUUUUAAAAUAAUUUUAAAACCAAAAGCUCUGAUACCAAUAGAAAUGUCACGACCCGGUACUCCCUUCGAGCCCGUGACAUCCAUCGCGAUGUCUCGAUAGACAUUCAUUACACGAAAUGUCAACCGAAACCUCGCAAGGCUCUUGCAUCAGUUUUACAUCUCCCAUGUGAGCAAUAGUUACUAAAUAUCAUGUUUUAAGGGAACAUAAACUAUUUUUAAAUCAAAACAAAUAAAAAAAUAAUUUCUGCCACACAGGGAUAUUUUGGUCAUUUUUACUCAAAAAUUUUGAAACCUGGUCAAAAUACAACAUACGAUCGUAAAAUAUACAUUUCUUAUCUAAAAAUAAUUUUCGUAAUCUAAAUCAUUCAUUUAAAAUAAAAUUUGGCUAAUCAAACUAAAUAAAAAUAUUAAAUAAAAUAUUCAAUUUUCUUAUAAGAUAAUAUUUAUAGAAUUCUGCGUAAAUAAUUUUUGUAGCGUAAAAGCAAAAUAAAUUCAUACAUACAAUGGCACACGCAGCCAGGUAUACAAAUAUUCUACAAUGACACGUGGGCCCCCAAAAUAAACAUAUAUGUACAAGACUAUAGACCUACGAUUUCUAAGGGUACAAACCCAAAAGCAAACCCUCGACAUAAUCAGCAGUCUAUAGAUUGUCCUGAGUCUGAAAUGGGUGAAAAGAAGGGGUGAGUUUUUAUAAACCCAGUGAAUUAGCAAAUUUCAUCUAAAACAUCGAAAGCCGAGUAAAUGGAGACAAUUUAAAAUAUCUCAUCAUAAUAUGAUUCAUAACAUCGAAUCUCAUUUCAUUUCAUAUAAAUCAAUUUCAUUUCAUAAAAAUCAACAAGACUUAUGAUUCUCGUAAAAACUUGGUUCGUGCCAAAAACUUGCACUCGGUGACACCUUGCGCCGGGGCAUCCAACCGAGUCCACCAAGGCUGUUAAAAUAACAUAUGAGUAUAAAACUCAUUUUCAUUUUUUUUUACAUUUAAAAGCAUAGCCAUUCCUUAGCGUUGGCUGAGUUUCACCUUCACGUGGUGGUUUGGUGUGAAGUGAACUCUAACGUUACCUUAGAAGAUACCCUCCGUGCCUCUCAUACUAAGGUAAAAUAUAACGGGGUUUACCGUUCUCCUCUAAUAAGCUGGUUCACGGAAACCCGCCCAUUGCAGUAAGCUAAUCAAAUAACCCACCAAUUCAAUAAAAUUUUCGACAGCAUGACAUGGCUAAUAUAAUAUUACCAGCCUAUCAAGACAAAGCAAAACAGUUCAUAUAUUCCACACAAACACAAAUCCAGCCAUGCUUGCCAUCACAUUGUCAUAAGCCAUCAAUUCAAACCAUAUGUCAAAACAUAUAUAUAACACAAGUAUACAGUCUCCACUUACUCAAUUUCCAAAACUAGUAUUCAAUUUCAAAACGAGUUAUAAAUCUCAUUUCGUUUAAUCAACACUUCAAUUAUAAAACAUAAUAGUUUACAAUUUAAAUUCAUUUUUCUUUAAAACAUAAAAACGAGUAUAAACUAUUUUAGAUAGUUAAGAUGAAAGUCUGAUUACUCACAAUAGCAAGAGUUUGGAGUACUCCUAUUCUUGGUCCUCGGGCACAAUAUCUUUACCCUUAUCAAAGGGCUCACCACCUAUACAUAAUACACGUCACGUAAUUCAAUAUAUUUGUGCCAAACUGUUAUAAAACUAUUUCAGGCUCUAUAUGAAUGCAUGACAAUGAAUGAGAAUUGUCCGAAUAAUCACUUAAAGACGGUGUUCUACGUGGGUUCAAUUAUGAUCAGACUGAAUUGGCAUUCAACCUAACUCGUACUAUGCCUUGUUUAAUUAGCCAAAACAUCCAAUUCAACUCAAAAUAUCUUCAUUACACUUCCAAUAUUCCAAAUACACCAAAGCACCUCAAUGAGCUUAAUUGUGACUUAAUUCACUGUAACCGAAAUUGAUUACGAUUUCGAUACCCAACAUUAUAAUUCAUAAAAUCCUAGCUAAAUAAUAUGAAUUACAACCAAAUUCAUCAUCAACAUGCCCUAUAGAAAAUUUGGCCAAAUGAGGGUUAUUGAAGAACAUGUGAUUUUCUUGCUUGUUUUUCCUUCCAAACAUCACAAAAUGACUAAAACACUAGGAUAUUAUGAAAUCUAGCAAAAUUCAUCACCAAAACUUCUCUCUCUAGAUUUGGCCAGCAAAGGUUCCCUCUUGACAACUUGAAUUUCAGCCAUGGAGAAUGAAAGAGAAUUCAUGGGAAAGGUAGAUCACAAGCUAAAAUUAAAAAAUCUUACCUUUACUUGCUUGAUUCCUUGAAAUACAAUAAUUUCUCUUGAAUUUUUCUUUCCUAGGGUUUGUUCUUCUCUUUUUCUCUUUAUUCCCUUGCUUGCCUGGCCAUAAGAGUGAUUUGGUAGGAGUGUGUGCUGGUUUUUUAAAAGGAAUUAUAAAAGGAUUAAAAUUUACCACGUGUCACCAAGUAAUUGGUCCAAGAUUAAAAACUUAACCAUUAAGCAAUUUCUCACCACCACAUGUAAUCCCAUAAUUAUCCAAAGUAUAAAGUAAUAAUAGGUAAAAUUCAUGGGCUUAACAAGUGUCAUGGUGGUGUAAAAUUUCAAUUACAUCCUCAUGGACACGUGAAAUGACCGUUUUACCCUUAUACUCGAAAAAUUUCAAAAUUGAAAAUUUUCACUCCACAAUUUCAAAUUAUGCUCAAAAUAGUCAAACUUGGUCAAAAAUCCUGUCCAACAUUCCAAUUUUGCCCUUGGGUGGCAAAAUGACCAUUUUGCCCCUAUGUUAUGAAUAUUUUUGAUUGGACUCUAAAUUAAUCCUCGAACUCCAAAUCACCAUAUUAAAACAUUCUAAAAUUCAAUAACUCUCAAAUACAUCGUAAAAUCUUUAUUUGGCCUUGUUCGAGGCUUUAAUCAACUUAAUUGUACCACUAGGUACAAUACCGACUUUUAACGAUUUUUCGAUACAUUCACUUAUGCAAACAAUCUAUCAAGCACAUGAAUGACACGGCAAGUAUAUAUAAUAGAGUAGGGCUUGACAUUACAAGUGAAUAUAAGUUCCUACCUUUAUACUUGAUGAUGAGUAUGAUGAAUGAGUAUUAUUAAAAGAAUACGAUUCAUGGUAAAUUAGUACCCACAUUGUUGGUAUGGACAAGUAUAAGAAAUGAAUGCUUAAAUAGAGGUAAAUGUUCCCAUCCUUAAGCUUUUGAUAUGUUUUAUGUGGUACGGAUUUGAACAUUGAGAGACAUGAUUUACGGGAUAGGAUGUGAUGUAGUACCACAUACUUUAUAAGAUAUCCUUGUUUAUGAGUAUGGGUUAUAGAGCAAUAUAUGCAUGAUAUGUUGAUGAUGUAUGUAUGUAUAUGAGAUAUUUUAUACGAUAAUUAAAACCCAAAUAUGGGGGAAAAAAUGCCACAUGAAUAAAGCCCAAAUGUGAAGGUAAGAAUACCACAAGAAUAAGGCCCAAACGUAGGGGAAAGAAUACCACACGAAUAAGGCCCAGAUGUGAAGGUAAAAUAUCACCUAUGUUAGAGCAAUUCCUACAUGUGGUGAGGUAAAAUUCCAUUACACGGUGGCGACGCUCUGUGUGAGAAACGCCUAUGUGCCACUCACGAUCCCAAACAUAGGGAGCCCAGAUGUGGGCUAGGACUUUAUAGGCAUCCUUGCAUUCAUGAUUAUUGCAUAUUACUCUUGUAUUGUGAUGUUUCUUGUAAUUGUUUCUUAUGCUUGAAGUGUUGGACUGAGUUACAGAUUAAACACUAAGUUAUAAGAUAGUCAAGAAAGGUUAUUCAUUAGAAUGAGUCCUAAUGCAUUGGUUGAGUUUAUGGAUUAUAAAGAAAGAAUGGUCACUUGAGUUUUAUGGAUUGAAAAUGAUAAUUUGGAACGAUGUUUACUUGAGUUAUAUGAUCAAAAGAUGAUCACAAAGUGUUAAUAUUAAAUCCUAUUUGGAUAAUCUUGAGUACAUGGUCAACCCACAUGCUUUAUGAAAAGUUUGAAGGAAAUCACCCAUGGCUUGGGCUUAUAUGGUUAAGUAAAAACAAUCUUAUACAACAGGUAAGGCACAACUUCCUUGUUUUUCUUAAAGGGUUUUUCAUAAAUGUUCAACUUGUUCAAUGAGCUACAUGUUCAUGAAAUGUUGAUUUUACUAUGAAAAUGAGACUCGUUUAUGACAACUCUAGUUUAUGAGAAAAUUGAAACUGAAGAAUGUUUAUCUUAAGUUCAUGUUUACAUAAACGAUGUAAUUUGUGCAUAACUUCUCCCCUUUUACCUGUCCCUUUACCUAUUCACUCACGGAGUCUUUGUGAUUGACACAUUAUUUUUCUCAUAUAUUUUUGUUGCAGAUCAGUGAUAGCUCGUCAACCACUCGAGUCACGGAGAUGUGAUCCAUUUUUUCUUUUUGAUAAGUGGUAUAGUAUCCUUUUUGAGGCUUAAAGAGUUAGGUCAUGUACCGUUUGACAAGUCAGUCUUUAUUAAUUAAUUAUGUUAUGACAUUGUUGGGUAUUGUUGUGAUGAUGUAGCCACGUUAUGGCAUUAUACUUGGUACUGAUGUUAUAUAUGCAUAUUUAUAUAUGAAUUGAACAUGAUGGCUCGAGAGUCUAUGUGAGCACAACAAAUGUGCAUAGGAAUGUUAUAUGUAAGGAUACAUGGACCCACAUUGGAUUAUGAAGUAUAUGAUAAUGGAAAUGUUCAUGAGCACGUUGAUGGCGAAAUCUAUAACGAUGCAAUUUAUGCAUGUGUUUGUAGGAUAAUUGAUAUAUGAUGAUUAAUGGUUAUGUAUAAUGACCUUAGGCUUGCUUGGGUCUAGCUGGUUAUACCCGUUUAGGUUUUUGUUCCCGUCACAAGCCAUCUAAAAAAUGAGAUGUGAUAAAAUUGGUAUCAGAACAGGGUCGCCCUUUGGGUAUGGCCAUCCAAGCAAGGGCUUUAGGCCUCAAAUUUCGAGAAACCUCAUAUUUUUAUAAUAAUAAUAUAAUUAAUUAUAUUUAAAAUAUAUAAAAAUUAAGAUAGUUAAUAAAAUAUUUAUCUAGUCUUUCAUGUCUAAUAAAUAUUUAUUUUCUCCCACUUCCACAUCCUUAUUAAUUCUAAACUUAUUAUCUCAUUUUUUGUUAAAAAUAUAUAAAAAAAAAAUUAAUAAAAGGAUAUAUUCUCUCACUUAUCUAAUUAUGUACUUAAUAAAUCUCAAGUUUUUAUCACUUCCGAAUUCCUACAAUGCUAUUAAUUCUCAACUAUUUUUUCUAUUUCUAAUCAAUUAAUGGUAAUAUGUAUUUAAUCAUUUCCAACAGUUAUUUUUUUUCUCACUUAUUUCUUCUAUUUCCAAUCAACUAACCUUAAGAUGUAUUUAAUGAUUUCCAACAAUUUAUUUUAUUUCCAAUAUAUAAAACCAACUAUCAUUUUUUUUCAAUUUAUAAUAUCCAUUUUUGAAUUUUUCUUCCCUCAUUUGUUCUUUUUUCCUUUAACUUCAAUUUUCCUUCAAUAAAUACGCAGGAAAUCUGUUAUGCUAUUAUCUUCAUAAAGCCAUGAGUUUCAUUUACGAUUUGCAAUAAGCAUUCAAUAAUUAGAUACUAUUAUUCUAAUCUUUGUAGACUUUUUUACUUUAAUUUAGAGUUUAUAUUAUAUUGUUAUAUUGUCUUUAUUUUAUGUGAUAGUUAAUUUAUUUGAAUUAAAAAUUUUGAUUGUUGAUUUUAUAUUAAUCGUUUAAAAAAUGUAAAAUAAUUAUAAAAGCUAAAUAUUUUUUAUACUUCAUAAUAAAUAUUUGAAUAUGUUAAAUGGAAAAUAUGAAUUUGGUUAUUCAAAGCUUAACAAUUUUUUUUUUAAUUUUAAUAAAAACAUCUCAUUUGAAUAUUUUACUUUAAGCCUUUGAGGUUAUUGAGUUGCCCUUGUAUUAGAGCUCUAAGUUGUAAAGUCCUGGGAUCACCUUGUUAUUUGUCAAGUGGAACAUUGAAGUUGUGUGUAAGAAUCUUAUUUUUUUUUGUGUACCUGAGCACAAAUUGAAAAUGGGAGACCCACAUAUGAUUGCUUGUGAGUUUAUCUAUCCAAGUUAGAUUUAAGUGUUAUGUUUAGUAUUGAUAUGAGUCCUUCGAAAUGAGUAUUGUAUUAUGUGAUCGUUAUUGUUUUGUGAUUAUGCCGCCUAGACCUUGAGCGGUUUCUAGACACGUAUGUAGUAGAGCAAAAGAUUCUCACAGAUGUUAUGACUAGGCCAUGUACACCCACUAUCAGGGGUUGUGGCAUACACGAUGGAGCUGGAAACUCACGCAAUGUUAAAUUAUUUCUUAUAAAGACAUCUUACGUCCAAAUUGAUACAACAUUCAAAAUUUUAUCUUAAAAAAGAGUAAUUAGAGUUUUUGAAUUCUUUAAAUUCUUUUCUUUGGUUCUUAGUACAAAAUUUUGAAUUAAAAAUUUCAUUAAAUGAUGUUUAUAAAACAUUGAUACAACCAAAUUGACAUUGAAACCAGUUGAAUACCAGUGAAAACAUUUCUUGCAUUUAAAGUUUUGGGCUGAAAUUGUGAACAGUUACUCCAAUAUUUUGUAUAUAUUAAGAAAAGCCAUUGGCACAUAUUUGUUAAAGCUAUGGGCGUAGAUACACUAAUAUAAGAGGAAAUUGUGAGAAAUAACCUUCCUCAUAAGCCCAAUUCAAAAAUAUCAUUUUUUUAUAAUUUUAACUAUUUUUGGUCAAUUUUUUAUAUGACUUGACAAUAAUACCCUUUAAACAAUUUCAGACAAAUUAAAAUAAUUUCAAUUUUCUCUCUCUCGCCAUCCAGAUAAAAAUUUCAAAAUUAAAUCUCAAUUUAUCUCUUUGCUCAAAUAUGUCUAUCUCGUUAUCCAAUUCACAGAUAUGACAUCAAGCUCUUUCUUAUUUUGUUUUAUUUUUUUGGAUGGUGGAUCUUGGGGUUCUUAAGGGCGAUGAACAACGAUUUUGCUCUUUACAGGUAGUGAUUUUGCUCAGGGAGAAAGAACAGCUAAAGCAUGUUUGAUGAGUUUUAUGGUGGUUCAUGAUUUUUGUCAAACCCUGUUCUAUAAAAUAAUUACGACGUCAUUUACAUGCUCAAUAGAAUGUUUGCAUAUUUAGGAAGUUCGAGGAAUCGUUAAAAGACGAUAUUGCCCAUAAUGGUACCAUUGAGUCGAUUAAGUCUCGAACUAGUUCAAAUAGGAAUUUUAAGGUGAAAUUAAGAGUUUCACAGUUCAGGGAUGACUCAAAAUGGUGAUUCAGAGUUCGAGGAUCAAUUCGGAGUCAAACCGAAAUUUUCACUAUCUAGGGGCAAAAUCGUAAUUUUUCUAAUCGUGGACAAAAUUUGAGAUUUUGAGAGAAUUUAGAUCACAUUUGACAAAUUGGAGAAUGGUAUGAGUAUAAGGGAUGAAAAAUAUGUCUAUGGGCAAUUUUUUAAUUUUUGGGGUAAAAAUGUAAUUUUCACUUUACGGGGGAAAAGUGUAAUUUUUAAAAAUUUGCUCCACCAAAACUUUGGAAAAGUCUAGAAAUUUCAUGGAAGACAUAGAUAAGUGAAGAGGAUUGAGUGGUAGAAAAAGAAAGUCAAAAAGAUGGCUAGAAAAAAAUAAAAUAAUAAAAUAUUCUAAAAGUAAAUAAAAUAAGAAUAUUUUAUUAAGCCUAUUAAAAGGCUUGAAAAUUCCAGAAUUCUUCAUUGGGAUGGUCAGCCAAAACCAGCAGGAGAGAGAGAGAAAUAAGAACAAACCCUAGAGUGAGAAAAUUCAAAGAAAAAGUGUGAUUUUUCAAGGAAUCAAGUGUCUAAAGGUAUGAUUUUUCAAGCUUAGCUUAAGAUUUAUCAUUUCCAUGCAUUUNNNNNNNNNNNNNNNNNNNNNNNNNNNNNNNNNNNNNNNNNNNNNNNNNNNNNNNNNNNNNNNNNNNNNNNNNNNNNNNNNNNNNNNNNNNNNNNNNNNNNNNNNNNNNNNNNNNNNNNNNNNNNNNNNNNNNNNNNNNNNNNNNNNNNNNNNNNNNNNNNNNNNNNNNNNNNNNNNNNNNNNNNNNNNNNNNNNNNNNNNNNNNNNNNNNNNNNNNNNNNNNNNNNNNNNNNNNNNNNNNNNNNNNNNNNNNNNNNNNNNNNNNNNNNNNNNNNNNNNNNNNNNNNNNNNNNNNNNNNNNNNNNNNNNNNNNNNNNNNNNNNNNNNNNNNNNNNNNNNNNNNNNNNNNNNNNNNNNNNNNNNNNNNNNNNNNNNNNNNNNNNNNNNNNNNNNNNNNNNNNNNNNNNNNNNNNNNNNNNNNNNNNNNNNNNNNNNNNNNNNNNNNNNNNNNNNNNNNNNNNNNNNNNNNNNNNNNNNNNNNNNNNNNNNNNNNNNNNNNNNNNNNNNNNNNNNNNNNNNNNNNNNNNNNNNNNNNNNNNNNNNNNNNNNNNNNNNNNNNNNNNNNNNNNNNNNNNNNNNNNNNNNNNNNNNNNNNNNNNNNNNNNNNNNNNNNNNNNNNNNNNNNNNNNNNNNNNNNNNNNNNNNNNNNNNNNNNNNNNNNNNNNNNNNNNNNNNNNNNNNNNNNNNNNNNNNNNNNNNNNNNNNNNNNNNNNNNNNNNNNNNNNNNNNNNNNNNNNNNNNNNNNNNNNNNNNNNNNNNNNNNNNNNNNNNNNNNNNNNNNNNNNNNNNNNNNNNNNNNNNNNNNNNNNNNNNNNNNNNNNNNNNNNNNNNNNNNNNNNNNNNNNNNNNNNNNNNNNNNNNNNNNNNNNNNNNNNNNNNNNNNNNNNNNNNNNNNNNNNNNNNNNNNNNNNNNNNNNNNNNNNNNNNNNNNNNNNNNNNNNNNNNNNNNNNNNNNNNNNNNNNNNNNNNNNNNNNNNNNNNNNNNNNNNNNNNNNNNNNNNNNNNNNNNNNNNNNNNNNNNNNNNNNNNNNNNNNNNNNNNNNNNNNNNNNNNNNNNNNNNNNNNNNNNNNNNNNNNNNNNNNNNNNNNNNNNNNNNNNNNNNNNNNNNNNNNNNNNNNNNNNNNNNNNNNNNNNNNNNNNNNNNNNNNNNNNNNNNNNNNNNNNNNNNNNNNNNNNNNNNNNNNNNNNNNNNNNNNNNNNNNNNNNNNNNNNNNNNNNNNNNNNNNNNNNNNNNNNNNNNNNNNNNNNNNNNNNNNNNNNNNNNNNNNNNNNNNNNNNNNNNNNNNNNNNNNNNNNNNNNNNNNNNNNNNNNNNNNNNNNNNNNNNNNNNNNNNNNNNNNNNNNNNNNNNNNNNNNNNNNNNNNNNNNNNNNNNNNNNNNNNNNNNNNNNNNNNNNNNNNNNNNNNNNNNNNNNNNNNNNNNNNNNNNNNNNNNNNNNNNNNNNNNNNNNNNNNNNNNNNNNUACAAAAGUUAUUUUAGGAAGACUUUGAAAAUAUUGUGUUUUAAGAAAAUAGAAUAUUUUAUUUAAUGUUUUUAUUAUAUUCAAAUAGCUAUAAUUUUACUUUAAACGAAUGUUUUAGACUUCAAAAUUUAAUUUAAAUCAUGAAAUAUGUGUUUCCACUUACAUAUUACAUUUUUUCGGAUUUCGAAAUUUAAAAAAAAAAAAUAACGAAAAUGCCCCAGUGAGCUAGAAAAUAAUAUUUUUAUUGUUUUGAGUUGGAAACAACUUAUGAUUUCUUGAAAUGCGAGAUUUAAUAACUGUCGCUCACCGGGGAGAUGCGGAAGUUGAUGCUAAGCCUUGCGGGGUUUCGAUCGGCAUUCGGGGUAAUGAGUGCUUAUCGGGACGUCGCGGCGGUUGUCACGGGCCCGAUGAGAGUUUCGGGUCGUGACAAUUUUAUUGUGUUUGGGAUUGGGAUGAUUGUUAAGCAUGUUUACUAGGGAUUUUGAAUUUUUUAUGGGAUUUUGAGUUGAAAUUGUUCAGGGAAUAUUUUGUAAAAAGGGUAUAUUUUGUUUUUAUAUAAGGGGAAUGAGCAAGACCUCUCGAUAGGGAUAUAUUUUCUCUUGCUUUAGAAGGUUAUGGAGUUUUGUAACCUAUCUUUUAUGAAAUGCAUAAUUUCAUGGCUUAGAAAAAAAAAAUGUGUUUUAGGUUCUUGAGUUUAUUGGUUUAUUCAUAGAAUCCAAAAUUGAGUUUACUGGCUUUUAGGUGUUGCGUGACUUAAUCAUCGUGUGACUAGUUUUUAGUCAUUACAUGAUUGGUUUUAGGCAUUACGUGACUAUUUUUUAUACAUUGCGUGACUGAUUUUUAAGCAAUGCGUAAAGCACACAAUGCCUUACUAACAAGUCACGCAAUGCCUAUCAACUAGUCAUGCAAUGCCUUAUCAGAAACUAGUCACGUAAUGCCUUAUCAAAAACUAGUCACAUAAUGCCCAAAGUUAGUCACGGAAUGCUUAUCAACUAGUCACGCAAUGCCUUAUUAGAAACUAGUCAUGCAAUGCCUUAUCAAAAACUAGUCACGCAAUGUCCAAAGUCAGUCACGCAAUGCUUUACAAAAACUCAGUCACGUAAUGUCCAAAGUCAGUCACACAAUAUCCAAAGUCAGUCAUGUAAUACCUAAAAACUAGUCACAUAAUUUCCAAAAAUCACCAAAACUACUUAAUUCCAUUUAACAAGAUCAACAACUUCAAACGAUACACCAUAUUCCAUUUAACAAAAUAAUUAACAAAUAUGAAUGCUCAAAAUGUUCGAAAGUUUUUCUUCAUACAUCAAAAAUCACUCUAAAAUGUUUAAAAAUACUCAAAAUGCUCACAGGUUUUCUUCGUGUAUUAAAAACUAUUCCAAAAUGUUCAAAAUACUUAAACGUUUUUCUUUCUGGUAAGGAAUACUCCAAAGAUGAAUAGUAUGGUGAGAAAAGCUCAAAAAAUAUGAGUCAAUUUGAGGAUCAACCUAAACAUACUUGACCUGUUAAUAGGUUUCGGGUUGAGGUGCGGAGCCUAACGAAUGGGUCGGUUUCAUUAAGGACAAUUUUGUUUAAUUUUUUUUCUCUUGGCUAAAAACAAAUAAAAUUAUAGGGAGAACUAUUCUUAAAAAUGCCUUAUGCCUCAUGCAUAUUUAUGAAAAGCACUCCUAAUAUAAUGUCUCAUAAUUCAUUAACAUUGUUCAUUUGUUACGGUUGAGAAUGGAUCACAAAGGCAUCAUUUCUCCUUUGGUCUUUCAGUUUGUUUCACUACUUUUUUUUUUGGGAUAAUUAAUAGUUUCUUACUUCCCACUAACACUGCUUAAGUAUGCAUGAAAAAUGCCAUAAGCAUUAAUUGUUUACACAACCACGCUCAACUUAUGUUUUUAAAAAAUUUCUAACUGCCCUUAUUUCUUAUAAAAAAAUACCUUUUUAUUAUUUUAUUUAAUUUUUUUAUGUAUAAAAUUUCAACACAAUACUUUGACCCCAAAAUCUAACCCAACGAAUAUAUAGCAUGUAUAAUUUGUCAUUUAUUAUUUUACAACUACAAAUUAAUAUGUAUUUCCCUUUUAUUUUAAUCAUGCCCUCUUAAAAUUAUGCUGCUAAAUGUCUCAAUUGGACGCUAUCUUUAUAUAUUUAAAUAGCAUUAUUAUAUUUUUACGUACACUAUGUAACAUUUCAAUAGCAUUUCAAGUCGAAGAGUAAAAAAAAAAGGGUGAAUCAACAAAGUGCCAAAUGUUAAAAAAAAAAAAGAAUACUAGAAAUUUUUAAUUUUUCAAGCAAUGAAUGCCUUUGUUUAAUCUUUCAAUCAUUUAUAAAAGUCAGUGGCAUAUUUUUUGAGAAUAAAGUAUGCGGUUUCAAAUGUAUUCAAUGAUUUGUUUUGAUCAUAGACAUGCCCAAAAAUGGUUCUGUAAUAGUUUAAAUAGCUAAUUUUGCAUAUAUGAAGUAUGAACUAUGAAUUGUACUUUAAUUGUGCAUUUGGUCCGUUAGAACCUAUAUUCAUUAUUCUUUUGGUAUAGGUUUGAUUAUGAGCUAAGUGUACACUGUUUCAUAGAUGUCACCUCUUUUCCUUAAGAUUUGAACUUGAGAAUCUAAUUUGAAGUUUUAUGUGAAGGUUGAAAUUAAUGGCAUUUGGUAUUCUUAGUGUAGUUUUAAACUUUAUUAUUUUCAAGAAAACAUGAAUGGAAUUCUAAUUGUUGUUUUUGCAAAGUAUAAAAUUAUGAAUUUUGAUUUUUUUGUGUUAAUUUAAUUUAAUUGACAUUUUAAGAAGUGUAAUCACUAAUGUAUGGUUUGUAACAUAUAAGGUGUGAGUAUAAUAUUGUGUUAAUUAUUUUAUUUAUACGUGUGAGUUAAUGUCAAAUUAAAUUAGUGACCAUAGUUAAUGUCGUAACGUGCGGGUUCGGGAACCCGAUCGCCAGACUCGUAUGUGAAAACUCACUAAAAAAUUAAACUAGGAGUCGCCACCAAUCUUUUUUACUAGGUGCAAUUGGCCACCUAUUGACUCGAUUCUAAUCAAUGAAAACUUAAAUUAAUUUUAAGCCCACCGAAAAGAACUUUAAACUGGUCUACAAUUUUUUAGAUCUAGGUUCGGGAGUACGGUUACGCCCGGAGAAGGAUUAGCACCCCCGGAACGCCCGUUCCAUGAACGGUACCAUUUUUAGAUUAUCCUAUUGGGCUUUAAUUUUUAAUUUCACUAUGUUUCCUUAAUUAUUAUUCACUUAUUUUUAUCUCCUAUUUGACCUAAAAUGGAAUGCAAAUACGAGGCAAGAUGCAUGGCGUGAAAAAAAAUACCGGACGAAUAACUUUUUAUCGAGGAUAUUUUCUCGAAUCCGCCCAUCAUACUGGUGGGACUUGGGGUAUUCUCUCACCUAGGAAAUUAUCCGAGAAAUUCACCUUCGCAAAUUUAACGAAUAAUUCCCAUCAUCGGAGUUAUCGUACGUUUUUCUUUAAAAAUAAUGUUUUCGUGCAUAGUAAACCUAAUUCGGGUAAAAGCCUUUUAUUAAAGAUGUUUCUCGAGCCCUCCCAUCAUACUGGUGGGACCCGGGAACACCUUUCACCUAAAGAACUUUUCGAGAAAUACUCGCCUUCGCAAGAUCCUCGAAAGAUCCUAUCAUCGGGGUUUAAACUCGAAAACAGAAAUAUUUAUAUGCAAUGAUAUGUAUGAUGCAAUAUAUAUAUAUAUAUAUGCAAUUAUCUAUAUUUUUUUAGUUAUUAUUAAUUAAUUAUUAUUUUUAUUUUAUUAUAUUUUUUUAUUAUCAUAUUUUCUAUUCUUAUUUCUUAUUAUUAUUUUUUUCAUACUUUACAUUUUUUGUUCUAANNNNNNNNNNNNNNNNNNNNNNNNNNNNNNNNNNNNNNNNNNNNNNNNNNNNNNNNNNNNNNNNNNNNNNNNNNNNNNNNNNNNNNNNNNNNNNNNNNNNNNNNNNNNNNNNNNNNNNNNNNNNNNNNNNNNNNNNNNNNNNNNNNNNNNNNNNNNNNNNNNNNNNNNNNNNNNNNNNNNNNNNNNNNNNNNNNNNNNNNNNNNNNNNNNNNNNNNNNNNNNNNNNNNNNNNNNNNNNNNNNNNNNNNNNNNNNNNNNNNNNNNNNNNNNNNNNNNNNNNNNNNNNNNNNNNNNNNNNNNNNNNNNNNNNNNNNNNNNNNNNNNNNNNNNNNNNNNNNNNNNNNNNNNNNNNNNNNNNNNNNNNNNNNNNNNNNNNNNNNNNNNNNNNNNNNNNNNNNNNNNNNNNNNNNNNNNNNNNNNNNNNNNNNNNNNNNNNNNNNNNNNNNNNNNNNNNNNNNNNNNNNNNNNNNNNNNNNNNNNNNNNNNNNNNNNNNNNNNNNNNNNNNNNNNNNNNNNNNNNNNNNNNNNNNNNNNNNNNNNNNNNNNNNNNNNNNNNNNNNNNNNNNNNNNNNNNNNNNNNNNNNNNNNNNNNNNNNNNNNNNNNNNNNNNNNNNNNNNNNNNNNNNNNNNNNNNNNNNNNNNNNNNNNNNNNNNNNNNNNNNNNNNNNNNNNNNNNNNNNNNNNNNNNNNNNNNNNNNNNNNNNNNNNNNNNNNNNNNNNNNNNNNNUAAACCCUUUUCCUUUUUUUUUUCUAAGUUUGCUAUUAUCUAUUACAUAAUUAAAUGUAUAGAUUCUUAUAUUUUUACUUUAUCCAAUUUCUUGUAUAUAAAGUUUUAAUUUCGUUUUUUCUAAAAAUAACUAAAAUAAGUAAAUAUAUAAAAUAAAUUUAAAAAAAAGAAAAAAGCAUUCACAAUAAGCAUAAAAGAUUCAAGCCCAAUAAUCGUAGAGCCCAGAACAUACCAAGGUCGGGCUUGGACUAGCCCAAAACUGAACCCACAGAUGCCCACAAUAGCUCCAGAAGCCCACUCCUCUUUCAGUCAAAACGCACCGUUUAGUGCCUUGCUUCAGCUGCCCUGUUGUGCGCCCAAACGACACCGUUUAGAAGGAUAGGCUAAGUUUGUUGAUGAGUCUCAAAAUGACGUCGUUUUGAACCUCCCAAACCCUAACUAUAAAUUCUUCUUUUUUUCUCCUCUCUCCAUUUUCUCUCUUUUGCCUCUCUUUCUAGCCGCUUAACUCUCUCUCUUCUCUCUACAAACCGCCGGCCAAACCAACGAUCAACUCUCUCCCAAACCGGUAAUGUCUUUCCUGCGCCGGUCGGCUGUCUCUUUCUUGGGACAGCUUGAACCUUUCUCCUCUCACUCUCAUUCCUUUCACCAACCACCUGAAAACUCUUCUUCUCUGUCGGCGCCAACCGUGCCACCAGAUCUGACCCCCUUAACACCGCUCGAUCCGAUCUCCAAAUCUCCUUUCACCGGUGGUCAAGAUCUCUCUCACUUUCCUUUCACUAGUGGUUGGUAAAACCCAAAAGCCCUAGCUCCCACUAAAUCGGAUCUCCCUCUCUUUCCUUUUUUCGGCGUCGGCCUCUCACCCUCUCUUUCUAUUCGCAUCGGCCACCGAAGCCUUUUUUACUUUCGUCGCCCAAAUCUGGCUUUUCUCCCCUCGCCGACACCACUCGAACCAAAACUCUCUCCUCUCUCUGCUUCUUCUUUUCACGGGCGGCGAGCCCAAAACCCAAGGCUUCCUAUCCUUUUUUGUGCAUAUGUGUGGUAUUUUUUGUUGUGUUGAUUCUGGCUGCUAGAAAAACUUAGGGUAUUUUUUUGAUUUGAUUGAUUUUUUUUUUUAUUUUUCGGUGAUUUUUUUUGUUGCUCUCGGUUGCUUAGAAAGCUUGCAGGUUGCUCUCCCGGUUUCCCUGAAUGCUACAGUGCCCCCUCCCCUUUAUACUCGGUUCCCGGGCUCUGGAGGGGGCACGCUCCACUACCUUGUUCCUGGGCAUUGGGGGGCACGUUCCACUACCCUGCCAGACGUGAAUUUUUUGCGUCUGGCAGGGUGAGGGAGGUGCACCCUGCCAGUCGUACCUCCCUCCCCUCUUUUUUCAUUUCUUCUUUAUUUUUUUUAUUUUUAUUAUUUUUAUUAUAUAUUUUUUUUAAUUCAUUUUUUUUGUUUAUGAUUUUAGUGUCUACAGUUAACCACCUUUUAAUUUGUAUUUAUAGUAAAAAAAUGAAAAAAAUUAAACCAAAUAUUCAUUAUUUAUAUGUAAUUUUUUUAUGACACUAAUCUAUCAAAUUUUUUUAUAAUUAGUAAGUAUCUAAUACCUUUUUCUUUUUUGUGGCAACCUGAAGAUUAUUUGAGGUUUGAUCAAUGAAAAAGGCAGAUUUAAAGCACAAUGGAGAUUUUAUUGGAUUCCAUGGAGUAUAAGCUGAUCGAAUUCAAUCAAAGGGAUGGAUAAAUUUGCCAAAAGAAGUUGAAUAGCCUGGGGUUGGGUGACAGUGCCUCAGAGUUGCAGGGUUUGUUUUUGUUUGCCUGCACUUUUGUUGAUUGAUCAUUUUGAAGGUAUAAAAGUAUAGCAUUUUUUUUUUAAAAAAAAAAGGAAGCUGAACAGCAAUUCUAAACUAAAAGUUCCAAAAAUAAAAGGCGGUCUCUCACAACAUAUUUUGAUUCAAAACGGAGAAAUGGGAAGGAGAGGGACUGGUAUUUUAAUUGCCAAGGAUGUGAAUGUUGGCAUCAAUACUCUAGUUUUUGAUUAACUACAAAUCUACUACCUUUUCUCGUGGGUGUUGGGCAGCCGCAGUCAAAUGACCCAAGUCCUGCCAUUCAUUUCAGGGUUGAAAAUUCUUUCCGCUACCAAAGAACUACUAUUCUCUAUUCAAAGAUUACGACUCGAAGCAGUUAAAGCUUUACGGAAGUAAGGAUCAGAUUGUAGACUUUGAAAGAUGGAGUCUUCUUUUCUAACUUCCAUUUCGCGCGCUAAUGCAUUCAAAUCACGUUUUACCGUUGUUUACAUGUAGGCAACGACCUGAAAGUCUCAAUUCACCAGAAAAUGGUUGUUACGAUUCUGUUCCUUCUUCUAAGCUCCAUUUACCACAAAAUGGCUGUAACGAUUCUGUUCCUUCUUCUAAGCUCCAUUUACCAGAAAAUGGCUGUUACGAUUCUGUUUCUUCUUCUAAGUUCUAUAUUGUUCACAGCAAGUGCUCAACCAAGAAAUACCAUCAUCAGACCGGGUUCUUCUUUUUCUCCCAAUAACAACUCAUAUUGGCUUUCCGAGUCUGGCCAGUUUGCCUUUGGUUUCUAUCCAUAUGGCAAUGGCUUCUCUGUAGGCAUCUGAUUUGAAAAAAUCCAGCAGAAAACAAUCGUCAAGUCACAAUCUAAUUUCUGAUGUAUCCUAAACAAAUCAUACAAGGGGAAAGUUUCAACUCAUUAUGCAGAGAGAUGGGAAUGUGGCGCAAUACCCAGUAGAUUGAGUGGAACAGGAAACUGCUUACUGGAGUACAGGCACAUCUAAUGCUGGAGAUAAUGUGACCCUGAAUCUUGAUAGUAAUGGUUAGCUUUACCUUUUGAAUUCUAUCACAUUGGUUGUAAAAAACAUUACCGAGAAGGUUAGUGUUUCAGGUAAUCUUAUCUACUGUGCAACAAUUGAUGCAGAUGGAAUGUUUCGAUUGUAUUCACACAGUUUCAACCAAUCUGGUAAUUGGUCAAUCGAAUGGUCGUCCUCUAAUAAUAGAUGCAAUCCUAAAGGCUUGUGCGGUGUGAAUAGCUACUGCACUUUAAUGGAUAGGGAACCUGUAUGUCAAUGUCCUCGUGGUUCUGAUUUCAUUGACCAGGGCCAGAAGGACCUGGGAUGUCAAAAAAUUACAGUGCAGAUGCCUGCACUAGAAAGAGUGAACACAGCUUUGAUGUUUAUGAACUGAGCAGUGUGACCUGGGAAGAGGAUCCUUAUGGUACUCUCCAAGAGCUAUAAAAAGAUGAUUGCAGAGAGGAUUGCUUCAGAGAUUGUAACUGUGAACUUGCCUUAUAUGGAAGUGUAAGGCAAGUAUGCAAAAAGCUGAAGCUCCCAUUAAGAUAUGGGAGAAGACGAUUGGGAGGUAGCAUGACAACUUUUGUAAAGAUUGGUACUGGGGUUAGGACAAUAGUUGGAGGGAAAGGAAAGAAGCGUGAAGUGCGAAUGGACAUUUUCAUUACUGGCAUUGGAUCCUUGAUGCUUGCAUUUUUUGUUUUAAGCAUUCUCUGGCAUUCUUAUAUACAGGCACCGCAUUCAAGAGUCCAAAAGGAUUUCGGAUCAAAGAGAUAGUAGAUUUGUUGAACAAGUCACUUUGAAAUCAUUCACAUACGAGAAGCUAAAACAUGCAACUAAUAAUUUCACGGAUAAUAUUGGCAGAGGAUCUUGUGGGGCGGGUUUUAAGGUGGCCAUAUGUAAUGGUAGCAGAAUUGUAGCCAUCAAGAGACUAGAAAAAGUACUUACAAAAAAAAAAAAAAGAGACUAGAAAAAGUGGUGGCUGAAAGAGAGAGAGUAUUCAUGAAUGAAAUGAAAAAAAUUGGGAAAACCCAUCAUAAGAAUUUAGUUCAAUUGCUUGGUUUCUGCCAUGAAGGAUCCAAUAUGCUUCUGGUGUAUGAGUACAUGAGCAAUGGGUCGCUUGCAGAUUUCUUGUUUAGGUCAAGAUUAAAGACAGAGUGGGAGGGAAGAAUAACUAUAACACUGAAUAUCGCCAGAGGAAUUCUCCACUUGCACGAAGACUGCGAAACUCAGAUCAUCCACUGUGUUGAAAUAUUGGCUUUUGUUUCUAGAAGGAAGGUACUGCACUGGUUUUGUGGUUGAGGUUCAUAGAAGAAGAAAAGCACGUGAUUUACAAAUGUCUCAAUUAAAUGCUUUGCCGUUUAGUUUAUUACUAAUGUCGUUUUUCACAUUUCUAGAUGGUUCUUCAAAUUAGCAAAACUAUGUCAUAUCAAUUUUUUUUUUUUUUUUUCUUUGUAAGCUGUCAUUUUCUCUUUCUCUCUCUCCUUUGUGUACAUGUACAGAAAGGCAUAUGAUUAAAUGUAGUAGUGGAGCUGGGUGCUGAAUAGUGUCUGACAAUUUUUGUCUCACAACUCUCCCUCUCUCGAUUUUUUUUUUCUUUCUCUGUUUUUGGUUCAUCCAUUUUUUUCAGAAAACUUGAUUUAUUCAACACACUGUAACAUCAAACCUGAAAACAUACUCAUGGACGAGAAAGGAUGUGCAAAAAUUGCAGAUUUUGGUUUGGCCAAGCUAUUGAUGCGCAACCAAACCAAAACUUAUACAGGAAUUAGAGGAACAAGGGGGCACGUUGCCCCUGAAUGGUGGCACCAAAACUCACCCAUAACUGUGAAGGCAGAUGUGUAUAGCUUUGGAAUAAUGUCUUGAGAUCAUUUGCUGCCGAAGGAGUUUAGACAUGAAUGCUCCAGAGGAUGAAGCAGUUCUAUAUGAUUGUUUCAUCGGCAAAGAAUUAGAAAAGCUGGUAAAGAAUGAAGAAGUGGAAAAGAAUAUGCUAGAGAAGAUGGUUGAGGUGGGAUUAUGGUGCAUCCAGGAUGAUCCAUCAAUGAGACCAUCGAUGAAGAAGGUUAUCCUAAUGCUAGAACAGACAGUAGACGUACCAGGCCCACCUUGUCGUCCGAGUUCCUUUAUUGGUUCUGUUAGAAGUUCCUCCACGAGUUCCUCGUAGAGCUUUUUAUGUUAAAUCUAUGGUGCCAUGCGCACAUACCAUGUUGACAGCAUUUGCUAAAGAUCAUCAUAUGAAAAUAAUCAGGUGUUAAAUUAUUUCUUAUGAAGACAUUUCCUUCCAAAUACAUUAGGCCUGCAUAUAUUAAAAAGUGGCAAUUAUCACUUAGCCAAGUAAAUAUCUUACCUCCAGUUUGAUACAACAUUGAAAAUUUUAUCUUAAAAAAAAGUAAUUGGAGUUUCUGAAUUCUUUAAAUUCUCUUGUUUGGUUUUAAGUAGCGUCCAAUAUUAAGUCAAAAAUUUCAUUAGAUGAUAUUUAUAUCACCGACGCAACCAAAUUGGCAUUGGAACCGGCAGAAUACCGGUGACAACAUUUCUUGCAUUUAAAGUUUUGGGCUGAAAUUUUGAACAAUUUCUCCGAGAAAAGCAACUGGCACAUAUAUUUGUUACUUUGCUUUAUUUUUUUAUUUGCUAAUGAAAUUUUGGAAAGUGCACAUUUAAUCAAACACUUAAGAAAAAGAUGAUAUUCCCACAACAAAGUUAAUUUUUUUAAAAUUUGACUGAAUACGAAAGAAAAAUUAUUUAUAUUAUACCAACUGUAAAUACCUCUUUAUGUGUAGCACGGGUAGUGUCCUAAUUAUAUAAUAUCACAAGCUACGUUACCCAACGCAUUAGCCUAGUGUCUUAUGGAUUGAAAGAAAAUUUCUUCCUGUUAUUGUCAAGCAUGCAAAUUAAAAUUGAUUUCAUCAAAAAAUUGAGAUAUUAAAAAAAUAAAAAUAAAAUAGAUAUAUUUUAUAUUAAUAUAAAAUUUAGAAUAUACUAGAAGUUUUUUACUUAAUUUGUGAAAUUAAAUUGAAUUUGAAAAUUAGUUUUCAAAUUAAUAUUUUGAAUUUUAUUUGCAUUGCUGUCUUCAAUAUUAACUCUAAGAUAAAAAAUAACAUUUUAAAUUCAAUCCUUUUAUGGCAAUGGAAUCAUUUGAGGUGUUUAAUUAAAUUCAUCUAUAUACUAAGUCAUCACAAUCUAAAAUUUGUCCUUUCGCUACUUCAAAUAUAUAUACAUAUAUAUAUAUAUGUAUAUUUAUUCUCAAAAUUGAAACAUUUAUUUAAUUAAUGUCAUAGUUUAUGGUUUUACUAAAAUUAUCUCAAGCGGUACUGUAAACGAAAUAUUGGAUAAAAUAUUAUAUAAUUAUUAAUUUUUAUUCAAAAAUCAACCAAAAUAAAUUAGAGUGAGAAAUUUUGACUCGAUUAAAAUGUAUUGAAAAAAAUUUAAUAUUGAAUUAUAAUAUAAUAUAAUUAAUGAUAUAACAGAUGUGUAUAAUUUGAUUUAACUUAAAGAGAAAACAUCAAUGAAAAGUAAGGCAUCAUACAUAAAGUAGUGAAAUAAAAAAUCAUAAAAAUAAUGAAAACAUUAGUUCAAAAUUGAUAAAUGCAUCACCAAUUUUAAUCCUUUAUUUUCACUUAUAUUGAGUGAAAAAAAAAACAAAUUUAGUACACUAAUUAGUUCAUGUAAUUCACUAAAGAGAUUAUAUUGUUAAUAAAACUAUUGAUUUGUGCAAAUAAAACAAAGUUGAAAGAAUAGAGAAAACAAUGAAGCUUUUGUUUGCUACAUUAAAAAAAAAUUCGUAAAAAAAAAUGUAGUAGCUGUUUGGGAAAAAAGAAAAAGACAAAAAAGUGAAGCACGGUAAUAGUUCCCAUGUGAGGGGGUAUACCUGUAUACUUUGACGCCCAAUUAUUUGGGCAAUUAGAGUCAAAAGUAGUAGACCUACCGUUACGUGAGGGCGUGCAUUUUGUUGAAAAUAUGUUUUGCCGUCUAAGAAGUGCUACUAUUUUCAUUCAAGGAUUAUGACUUAGAGCAAAAAGAGGUCAAGGAUCAACUUGGCAGGAUGGAGUCUUCUUUCUAACUUCCCUUUCACGCCCUGAAGCAUUCAUAUUACAUGAUGGUUUACCUUUCGCCAGAAGGAGAUACGCAAGGAUCUGAGAGUUUCUAUCAACCAAAAAUGGCUUUUAUGAUUCUGUUUCUUCUUCUUUGUCUAAGUUUUAUACUUAACACAACAAAUGCUCAACCAAGAAAUUCCAUCAUCCGACCAGGUUCUUCUCUUUCACCCAAUAGCAAUUCACAUUGGCUAUCAGAGUCUGGCCAGUUUGCCUUUGGUUUCUAUCGAUAUGGCAACGGCUUCUCUGUGGGCAUCUGGUUUGAAAAAAUCCAGCAAAAAACAGUUGUAUGGACAGCUAAUCGAGAUGACCCACCAUUUUCUAGUGAUGUCACAUUGCUUUUGAGCACAGAAGGUAGGCUUAUUGUGCAACCAAAGCAAGGCCAAGAGAUCCUCAUCGCAAGUGCUUCUCAAUUAGCAUCCUCGGCCUCCAUGCUCGACUCUGGUAACUUUGUUCUCUUCAAUUCAAGUUCAGCGAUUAUUUGGCAGACUUUUGACUUCCCGACAGACACCAUUUUACCUGGCCAGCGUCUUUUGCCUGGUCACAGUCUGGUUUCCAAUGUAUCAGAAACAAAUCAUACAAGGGCAAAGUUUUUUCUAGUUAUGCAAACAGAUGGAAACCUGGUGCAAUACCCAGUAGAUUCAAUAGAACUGGAAGCUGCUUACUGGAAUACAAAAACAUACGGAGCUGGAGAUAAUGUGACCCUAAAUCUUGAUAGCAAUGGGACGCUUUACCUGCUAAAUGCUACCGCGUUGCUUGUACAAAACAUUACUGAAAAGGCUAGUGUCUCAGGUAAACCCAUCUACCGUGCAACAAUUGAUGCAGAUGGAAUAUUUCGAUUGUAUUCACGUAGUUUCAACCAAUUUGAUAAUUGGUCAAUCCAAUGGUCAUCCUCAGAAAAUAAAUGUGAUCCCAAAGGCUUCUGCGGGGUUAAUAGUUAUUGCACUCUAAUGGAUCGGGAUCCUGUAUGUCAAUGUCCUCCUGGUUUCGAUUUCAUUGACCAGGGACAGAAGGACUUGGGAUGCCACAAAAAUUUCAAUGUAGAUGCCUGCACCGGAAAGAGUGAGCAAAUGUUUGAUUUUGAUGAGCUGAUUAGUGUAUCCUGGGAAGUCGAUGCAUAUUCCAGUCUCUCAUCUAUACCAAAAGAUGCUUGCAGAGAGGAAUGUUUUAGAGAUUGCAACUGUGAAGCUGCCCUUUAUCAAAUUAAAAAUCAAUUGUGCAAAAAGCUAAAGUUGCCGUUAAGAUUUGGGAAAAGAGAAUUAAGUGGUCAAGUAAUAACUCUUCUAAAGAUUGGUGCUGCUCUUGAUAGAGGAGGGGAAAGAAAGCAGAGAGAGCUGCGAGUGGACGUCUUGAUCAUUAGCAUUGCCCUGGCGUGUUUUGACAAUUGCAUUUACCGUUAUAGUAGCUGUCGGUGUUCUUAGAUAUAGGUCUCGUGUUCGAGAAUACAAGAGCAUUUUGAAUGUUGGAAAUAAUGGAGUUGUUGAAGAUGUUACUUUGAGAUCAUUUACAUUUGACGAGCUCAAAGAUGCAACUAAUAAUUUCGUGGAUGAAAUUGGGAAAGGAGCUUACGGGUCUGUUUUCAGAGGGGUCAUAUCCAAUGGCAAGAGAAUUGUAGCCAUCAAGAGACUAGAAAAAGUGGUGGCUGAAGGAGAAAGGGACUUCAGGAAUGAAAUGAAAGCAAUUGGGAAAACUCAUCAUAAGAACCUAGUGCAAUUGCUCGGUUACUGCUACGAUGGGACUAAUAGACUACUUGUGUACGAGUACAUGAGAAAUGGUUCACUUGCAGAUUUUCUCUUCAAAUCCAACUUAAAGGUAAAUUGGGAGGGAAGAAUUGCAAUCAUAUUGAACAUAGCCAGAGGAAUUUUCUACUUGCAUGAAGAGUGUGAAACUCAGAUCAUCCACUGCGACAUCAAACCUGAAAAUAUCCUAAUGGAUGACAAAGGGUCCGCAAAAAUUGCAGAUUUUGGAUUAGCCAAGCUAUUGAUGCCUAACCAAACAAAGACAUAUACUGGAAUCAGAGGAACAAGGGGAUAUGUUGCUCCUGAGUGGCAUCGGAACUUGCCUAUAACCGUGAAAGCAGAUGUAUAUAGCUUUGGAAUAAUGUUGUUUGAGAUCAUUUGUUGUCGAAGGAGCGUGGAGGCUGAUGUUCCAGAAGACGAAGCUGUUCUUGCACACUGGGUGUAUGAUUGUUUCAAGGCUAAUGAACUGGAGAAGCUGGUGCCAAAUGAAGAAGUGGAAAUGAGUAAGCUCGGGAGGAUGGUCAAGGUGGGGCUAUGGUGCACCCAAGAUGAACCAUCAUCGCGACCAUCAAUGAAAAAGGUUAUACUGAUGCUGGAAGGGACAGUAAACAUACCAGACCCUCCACUUCUCAGUUCCUUUGUUAGUUCCCCGUAGGCCAUGCCUGACCUCCGUUGCAAGUGUUGAGAUUAGUCAAAAAUUGUUAGUUGUUAGCAUCGUUAACUAAUUUUUUUCAUCAGAGUUUUCUUAUGGUGUUUUCCUGUUUUUUAUAUCAAUGAUAUGAUUGCUGUCAUAUGUAUAUAUCAUGAUAUAUGUUACAAGAAGUGAAAUCUUACUUAUUGAGCUGUGAAUUAUACAAAAAUCCGGCAUUUGCCUCUCCUGUUGGAAUGUUCUAGAUUUAAAGUGAUGAACAAAUUUUUUUGUUGUUCUGUUUGAGCAAAGGCUAGAUAAAAUGUCUAAGGAGAAGGCGACUGAGGCUGUUAGGACUUCAACAAGGAUGUCUCUGGAAAAGAAGGUAGCUACUCUUAAGCCAGCUACGAAGAAAGCUCCUACGCCUAAACGCUCCGACCAAGAGAGUACGGUUGAACAGUGUCAAAUCACCAGGGAAGAAGGGCCCGUCCAACAGAAUAAAGGGAGAGAGAAAAAGGCCAUGUAGGGUAGUUUUGUAAAUUUGAGAAAAAGAAUUUAUAUAUCAAGACAUGAGCAUUUUAUUCUUGUAAUAAAAUCGGUUUAGGUAUUAGGGUGGAGUUUUCAUUUUUAAUAUUAACGGAUCAAAGAGUGAAUUAUGAUCAAAAUAUAAAAGACAAAUGUAUUUUAUCUUGGAAAUUUUCUUAAUUUACAUUUACAAACAUCAAACGUCCAUUUAAAAUAUUCACUUAGUCGAAAAAAACAAAAAAAAAAGGAAUUACCUGUAAAAUUAAGACGUGGCUAUACAAGAUUGGUCCAUCGCAACAGAUUUAUCAAGGCUUACCGCCCCGGAACUAAAUUCCCCUCAACACACGUAGACACGUGACUCUCGAGUCGUGACUCACUUGUACAAGUCGAGAAACUCAGCGGCAAUCAGAUUUGUGCUUUUGUGCUUGGAACCAAAAAAAAACCCCGACGAAAGUAAACGAGGGAAAAAGGAAAGCAGAUAGCCAGAGCUAGGGGUUUCUCAAUUCCAGGCCUAGCUGUUUCUUUUUCUUUCAAUUCAUUCCUUUUAUUUUCCUUUCGCGAUAGGUAAAUUUUUAUUAUAGUUUUUGCUGAGGAGAUUGAAUGGCGGACGGUUACUGGAGUCGGCGACAGGCAACUCCUCCGAUGUUGUCUUCCGGUGGGGUGCUUAAACGACCUCGUCAUGAUUUCGGUACACUCUUUUCUUUGUCAUUUUAAAUGUUGUAAGUUGCGUCUAUCUUUGUUUAUUUGGCAAAAUAUUUUGUUCAAUUUUGUUUAGUUUUAGAUGCUUCAAUAAGUUUAGAAAAAGCCGAAAAUUGUCUAUUGGAUUGGUAGAGUUUUGUUUGAACUCUGUGUCGGACUAAAAAUAUUGCUUUGAUAUUAGGGUUUUCUUUUUUCUUUUUUUUUUGUUUAGUUAGAUGCAUAUUUGGAUAGUCACGCUUUAAAAUGGAGACUUUUCUUAAAAAUGAAAAUCAAUGCUAUGGAAAAUUUUUAAUGCUUUAUUUCGAAAUAAUCGGUUCAAUAUGCAAUAUAGAAUCUGAGUUUUAAGGUAUCAUUUGGUUGUCAGAUAAGAAAUGGAUGAUCAUUGAACACCACACCACUGUAGUAGUAUUGUAGAGCAUCCUUAACCUGUUAAGUUGUUUUUUUUUUUUUUUUAACCUUUGUAAGCUUGCAUUUCACUUCGUUUCUAUUGUUUUGUUUCCCCUCUUUUCUUUUCUCAUUUUCAAAUUGACAUUUGUUGCACAAAUGUCUUUGUUCAUAUUCAAUUACUGUAAUUAUUUAAAUUGCCUGUGCAUAGUUAUUAGUUGGAAAGAGUUGCCAUUUUCUUCUUAGCUAGCUGCCCAUCACUUUCCAGAACAUUAUUUUUGUCUUUCCAUUUUGUUUGUAAUGAAUUUAAGAAAUAUGAUCGUUUCAUGUCUGCAUCUAUUGUAAAAGUUAUUAUUUGCUUUCAAAAAUAAUUAUCAACUAAGUCUUAGAUUUUCAACUUCACAGAUGCCCCAGCUUCUGGGCUGCAUGCAGCUCAUGAGAUGCAUAACUAUUUAGCAAGGGAUGAUGAUCGAGGUGGACAUCUGUCUCUGAAGGACACAAAAACAAUUGGAUCGGCAUAUGAUCGCUAUCUUCAGAGCACGGUACCAUCUUGACCCUUUACCCAUGCUUCUUUAUCCCCUGCCAUGCAUCUCCCUUUUUUUGGUUAUCUAAAGCACUCAUCAAAUUGCUUUUGAAGCAACUUUCUUCUUUUACUUCUGGAGAAGCUAGUACAUUUGGUGGGAUGGGAAGGGCUGUUGGUGGCGCAAUGUCUGCUCGUCCUGUAGCCGAUCCUUCUGUGAUGGGUCGUUCUGGAUCUGCUGCUCUAGAUCUGGCACCAAAUGGUCGAAAUGUUGGUUAUAGUGGUCAACUUCCAGUGGAUGGAAUGACUAGGCCAGGCCAGGACACCAUACCUCUACCUCCAGAUGCUUCCAAUACUCUAUAUGUUGAGGGACUUCCUCCAGACAGCACGAAGAGGGAAGUAGCCCGUAUCCUAUUUAGUGAUGUUGUGCUUGAUAAGAUAUGUUGACAUGUGCUUUUAUGAUACCAUACUUUAACUCAAUUACGCUGUUUCCUACUGGUGGCUCAAAUUCCUUGACCGAAGCUUUAGAUAUCUUUCGUCCUUUUGUGGGAUAUAAAGAAGUACGACUUGUAAGCAAAGAAUCCCGACAUGUAAGUGGACUAGGCAUUUGCAAAUACUUAAUUUAUCUCCUGUAGCACGACUACCUUUGUUGUUUUGUUACACAUGUGAAAUUGUUUUAAGUGGGCUGUUUUGCUGACUGCUGAAACAUAAUGCAUUGGUUAUGCAGCGAGGUGGAGAUCCUAUUAUCCUUUGUUUUGUUGAUUUUUCGAAUCCCGCCUGUGCAGCAACUGCAAUGAGUGCCUUGCAAGGUGAUCCAUUCUUUCCAUUGAUUUAACAUUUAUUAAUGGUAGUUUAUAACUCGACAACGAUACAUUUUUUUUUUUUCAAAAACAAUGAUUGGAAACAAUAACGAAAACUCAAUACUUGAGAUUGAUUUUGGUUACUUAUUUCUGUCUUUUGGUUUUUUUUUUUUUUGUUUCUGGUUUUUGUAUGUUUGUGUGUUCUUUAAGAUUUUGCCAUGCAUGGGUGAUGAGGAAGUGAUAUUAUGCAGGCAGAAAAUAUGUAUGCUAGAUUUUCCUUCAAAAGGAAUGCUAUCAAUGAGUACAUGCAAAUACAAAUACAAGUUUGAACCAUGAUAUGCCAUACUUUGAGCCCAUCAUUCAUUGGCUGAUAUGUGCAUCUGAGUUAAUGCUUUACUCAACUUCCUGAGUAAGUAGACUUUAUCGUUGGUUAUGCAGGUUAUAAAAUGGAUGAACAUGAUCCUGAUUCUAACUACUUAAGGCUGCAGUUUUCUCGGUACCCGGGCCCUAGGUCAAGUUCUGGAGCUCGUGGAAGGAGGUGAAUGUCACAUUCUGGAGACAACUCGGCUGUAUUCAUAUCCAUGUUUAAGCCAAUUCUUAUGGCUCACAUCUUUUCUAUAUAUGGCAGGGUUUUGAGGAGUGGGCAUUUUAAUUAAAUAGGAUAUUAAAAACCUGCGAUUUGAACAGCUUAAUUCUACUAACUAUUAGCACUAGAGAUGCACAAAAGUUUAGGAGAGUGAAGAUCAAGCAAUCCUUGAAUUGCUUGCACAUUUCAUGAAACUGUGUUGUAGAAUAACUUCUAGAUGAAAGAGCUCCUUUUUGUGGUAGAGUCAUGGUACUACUUGCAUUUAGUGUUUCAAGUAUGGGAAUUACCGUUUUUGCACUUUUAAAGCUCGAAUAUUGAUUAGUCUAGCCCAAAGCUAUUCUGUCUUUUAUUCAGCUGAUUGUAUGGCUGUAUGCCAUGUUCAUCACCAUCCAUGGCUUGGUGGAGCUAAUGGAUUUGUAUGAGUAAUGUUUAUUAUUGUGGAAGUUAAUUCUUUUCUUUGGAGUUGAUUAUUUGCAUUGUGGUAAUAGAUGCUUUGCUAUGUUGAGUUUGUGAAUCUACUCAGCUUUACAAGCUUCUGGUGUUCUUUAGAUAACCUCGCAUUGUAAUAUGGUUUCUUUUGCCACAGUGAUGAAUUUUGCUUGUAGAUGUAGUUUCAUCAGUUUGGUCAAUGUGGUUGGUGUGAUGUGCAGCUGAUAUGAAUUCAGUAUGAUUGCCUAUGCCCACUGUUAAGGCACCAGGGAAGAUGAUGGGAGUAAUGUUGUAUGUAAUGUAACUAGCAAAUCAACAGCCCUAAAAAUAUUUUUUGGAUCAUUAAGAGAAAGCUAUGCAUCUAUGCAAGCUAUGUUCUUCAAUUCCUUGAUUGCAUCUUGUGAAGCAGCAUUGGCUUGCCUCCAGAUGCUAAAUUGGUGGGAAACAUAGGUUGGCAAUACCAUCCUAGUUUCUCUGUACAAGGUUAUCAUCCUCAUUCAGAAAUAUGCUGCCCAUUUAUUGGAGCAAAUCGCUGGUCCAAUCAAUUGCUGAAAAAACAAAUUGUUCUAUUCUAACAAAGCCUCUGGCCAAGAAUAUUAUGUUUUAAGCCAUGGGGGUCCAGAAUUUUCUGAAGUUUCAGCCUUUGGCCCAUCACAGUUGAUGUAGGACCAUGGAAAAUGAAAUUACUAAUUUCUAGCUAUAGAUGAGUCCUUGUCUCUCCCCGAGAAGAGAAAACUAGAAAAUUGUAGCCUUCAAUUUUCAUCUUCAUUAAUUUCGAAUUUUUCCUAAUAACCAUUAAAUCAAGUUAAACAUGUUGUACGACUUGUAUAAUAGAGCUCAUAAGUUAGUUAAUUAACCAUAUCUCUAUGUAGUUUUUUGAGUUUGCUUAGCACUUUAAUCCGAGAGAGAGGGGUUAACAACGCACUAAUAGGCCAAUAGGCCCAUUUGGCAAACUAUAAUUAAAUUUGUUUUCCCUAUCUGCUACGCAAAAGCCCAUGUGGGACAGCAAAUAUUAAAUUGCUUUCGAGUACAAUCUUUUAUGGAGUUCGGAAGCUAGUAAGUGAAAGGAGAAGAAAGAGAAAAACGAAAAAGGAAUUAAGCCCAGAUUAAUCUGCUUGUCCCGUUAUUACAUCAACUUUUUCAACCUUUGCAUGGCAUCUUCAAUGGAAUAUACCUGUCAUCCUUCUUGCAUAACCCCACGUGGAUUGUAAAAUCGAGUGAUAGGAAAUUCUCAGUUGUACACUUGUACUAGUCUCCAAAACGAAAAUUGAUUAAAAAUUCUAUCUCAGAACUAGACAGUAUAAGCGACACUGUGCAACAAUCAGUUGAUCGAUCAAUCAUGUUUGGUUGCUGAGAAAAUGCGAACAAAACGUGCCCUACCACCCACCACCCCUGUGAUCACAUGCAAAAAAAAAAAAAAAAUGCCCCUAAUCUCUCUCUUGGCAUUUAUAGCUUUAGGAAAAUUGUUUGACACCUGUCAGAUAAAAUGACACAUGUAGGGUACCAAUGAGAAAAAAAAAAAUAGUUCUCACUGUUUUGAACGUACUCUUUCUCCGUUUGCUAGAGCCAAUGGGUUGAAGCUAGCAGAUCAAUUUGGAGGAGUUAUUUUCAGAUUCCUAGCUAGGAAUGAAUAAUAUUCGACUCCAUGACAGCCGUCCAAUUUCUUGCUCAACAAUAUUAGAUAAAUUUGAUUGAUGGUAACAGUUUAACAAGCCAAAAUUUCGUGUUGCAUCAUAUCCUCAUUCUUGUGUCGGUGGGUGACAACAUUUUUUUUAUAUAGCAAUUGAAUGCGCAGCAUUAAAUAGAUCUGCAAGAGGUUAAUUUAAUAAAGUAGAAGUCGGUAGACAUGGAUAGUUUGACAAGCAAAGGAUUUCGGUAUUAGAUUAAUGUUUUACCUGAGAUUGGGGGGAUGAAGUUGGGUGACAUUGACCAUAGCUUGCUUUGCAAAGGAUUCUUUUCUUUAUUGAAAAUUAUUUUGAUUGUAAUUGUAAUUUUUAUUUAUAAAUAUAAUUUAAUUAAAAAAAGGAGUUUUUUAUGUUUGUGUAUGUAUGUGUGUAUAUAUAUAUAUAUUAUAUAUAUGAUUUGUUGCCGCGGGAAUGAAAGUGAACAGGGUUGCUGUUCUUCGUCUGAAAAGAAGGAACAAAAACAUGGGCGGCUAUUGUCAUAUCUGUUUUUUUUUUUUUUUUCUUUUUACUGCUCAUUUUAGGAAAAGAGCCAAGUCGCUGUUAAUGAUAAAAUCAACAUAUGCUGCCUUUUUAUGGUGGAUAAAGCUUUGGGUGGAGGAGAAUCAAUGGAAAAGCUACAGCUGUACUGUUUCUCUCUUUUCCUUCACUCUUCCCAGCUUUCUCCUUGCUUUUUAAUUAUUGGUAGUAUCUUUUAGUUACAUGCCAAGAUUGACAACUAAGGAAUAAUGAAUAUGAAAAUCAAUAGGAAGUUGCGGUUGCGUUGUCUCUUUCUUUCUGAUCUCUUUGAAAUUAUUUGUAGCUUUUAAAAAACAGGCCAAGAGUGACACCUCGAAAGACAAUCAGAAGUAGAUCGAAAACUGACGCAAAGCGUAGACUAUAUUAGAGAUACCCAUGAUUGGAUCAUGAAUUAAUGUACAAUAAAUAGAUUUUAGCGGUUGAGUGUUGUUUGAUUGGCAAAAGAAGGACUUGGGAUUAAAAUUAGAUAUUGGGCUGCUAAUCAUUGAAUUAAAAGUGAUUUAGCUCAUGUUUCACCCGAUGCAUUGCAUUGUUUUUGGAAGGAAACAAAAUGAGAAUUUACCAAACCCAAAGAAAACUAACAAAAUGAUAACUUAUUAAAUUUGCAGUUGAAAUUUCCAUAUCUAUCUUCAAUUCAUGUUUUGCCAAGUCCAAAAUGUCAAGAAUAUAUACUUUGGAAAAGGUCAAAAUACUUUAACAAUUCUUAAAUUCAUGCGUUUUUUUCAUUUUAAUCCCUUCACUCAAAAUUGUAACAAUUUAAUUCUUUAAUUUUAAAAAUUAUUUCAAUUUAAUCUUUUUAAUAUUUUCCUUCUUGUUGGUUACUUAACUCAGCUCCUCGUUUUGUCUUUAUAGAUAUUUCUUUCUAGCGACCUUUAUUACCUGUCACAUUCAUCAGAAAACUAAGCCUAGAUCCAGAAUUUAAUCUUUUAUACUUCUUUAAGUUAGUGACGUAAUUAACUAGGAUAAGUUAAUCCAAAUCAAGAAAAAUGUAUAUUGACUGAAUCUAAAACCCCUCCCGCAAGUCAUUAUAAUUAUUACUACAUUGAAAAUAAGGAGAUUAGUUAUGACUAUCAUAACUGAAACAAGACAAACCUACGUUGUCUACACAUUAAUUUCUGAGACAUUUUGGAAUAUAUAUAUAUGGACAAAUAUCACAACUUAUAAUUGUCAAGCAUUUAGAACAUUUUUCUUCAUUGGUGGCAGGACUCCACACGUUUAGCGUAAACCAUUUAAUAAAAUGACUUUUUCUAUGUAAUGCUACCUACUCUACAUCUCUCCAAUUUGAUUUUGAAUUGUCUGCUUUUGCCUUGCUUUCGUCUCUAACUAAUUAACUCUCUCUAUGUAUUACCUUUUCUUGCCAUCUUUAAUUUGACGGUUCAAAAGAAUAACCUUUUGUUAGGUGAAGUUAAUAUUAUUAAUAGAAAGAAAGUACAAAUAGAAUCUCACAUACACCAUGACUUGAUCUGGUUUAUUAGGUAAAAGUAAGUUUCUCUAGUUGUUUCCAGAGAGUUUAAAUACAAAAAAAAAAAGAUAGAAGCAGUCAAACAUAGAUAAAACAAGUCGUAUUCUUCACCAAACUCCUCAUCCGUACUCAAGUGAUAAGGAAAGUGCAACUCUCGGAGAAUUGUGAAGCUCAAGUUUCAUUCCAUCUAGCUGGCUUUUAAGACCUUUUCUUCCAUGUUUUUUUUUUGUCGUAAUUACAACUCCAUAUAAGUCUAGUUAUCUCAAAUUAUCGAUCUAAUUAAAAAUAAUAUCACUAAUAAUUUUUCUCAAAUUAUCGAUCUAAUUAAAAACAUAUCAUUUAUCUCAUGAUUUGUACUGUUCAUUACCUAAGAGAUGGCUAUUUGCGAAUUUGAUUCAACAAUAAAUGAUGUCUUCCCCAUCUUCCCAGAUGAAUUAAAAACUUCCAAAGCAACGUUAAUAGCUAUUAAUUUUACAAAAUAAUUAUUUUUAUCAGUUACGGAAUGAUAUGCAUAACAAAAUUCCUAGUAUAGAAUGCAUAAUAAUUUACAAUUAAAUUUUACAUGUAUAGUUUUAAUUUAAAAUGCACUUUACACUGAUGCUUGCUUAAGUUUUAUUUUGUGCACUAAAACAAAAUUUGUUUUGUAGUGAUAUGAAAAAAAAAAACCUUAAAAAUUUCAAUUUAAAUCAAGUAAUUAUAAAUCGAAGUGGUAGAGAUUUAAGUAAAAGAUUCGAUCCGUUAUCUCUUCUUGCUUUGAAAACAGUACUCUGUUUUUUUCCUUCAAGAGGAAGAACUGUACUGUUUUAUUUGAAAAUGAUAGCUACUUUAUCUUUUUCUUUUCUUAUAAAAAUCACUACUUAAUCUUCGAAUCAUGAUUAAAUUUGACAGAGGCUAAUCAUGCAUUAGCUAUUGAGUACACAUCAGUAGCUGGUCCUUUUCAAGCAAUUAAUGUAUAACCAAAUAAAUUAAUCUCAUCUGAACUUAUAUUAGAGGUUUUAAUUAAGUUGUGGUUAGUUAGAACUAGGGAAGGGUUUCCUCUGCCGGUGAUUAAAUUAAUCAAAUGCUAACUAAUUGAGCAUAUGUUAUGUAAAACGUGAUUUUUGUUGCUUUCAUGCUUAAAAGUUUAUACAUAUAUAUGUUCUAGUUGGAUUAAUGGUAUAACAGCUUAAUUGGAACAAAAAAUAAGAUAAAAUCAUUUAAAUUAUCUUCAUUAAUACCAUAUUUAACUAUAGAUGAUGAAUUGGUAUUAAAAAUAUUGGACUUUGUUCGUUAUUCGCCCACAGGAAACAAAAUUUUUGGAAACGACAAAGUAGAGACUGGAGAAUGCAGAGCAAAAGAAAGUGUAGCCGCCUGGUCCCGUAGCCAAAAUAUCAUGGAAAGUUAGGCAGCCACACAAUGUUUUCAAAGCAAUUUAAUCCAUAGAAAAAAAGAAAGGGAAAUAUGUAUGUAUAUACAUAUAUAUGGUAAUUAAGAAGAAAGAUUUCUGUUUGAAUUAUGGUAUUUAUUUCAUAGACUACUACUUUAUUCUCUGCUUAGCUAGCAACCUCAAUCGAAGCUGCCAAAUUCAACGAUUGGAACCCGUGGUGUCAUUUCUCCUUACAUUCAUUAAAUCCCGUUCAAACCUGCACCAUUUGCAAUUUAUUUUUAUUUUUAUUUUUAUUUUAAUCGUGGCGUUUGACAAAGGUUAAACAAUUUUUUAAGCCGAUUUUACCAGGAUUACAAGGUAAAGACAAAAUCUAUAUAAAGGAAGCGAAGAGGUUGCCCCAGAGCAGAACCAAAACCCACUUUGUUGUAAAGAUGGGAAAAAUGGGGUCUUCAAUGACCUCUCUCUUCGUCACUCUCCUAGUGCUAGCAGUGUCUCUCAGCUUGCCUUCUGAAACCACAGCAAACUACCCUUACGCAUCUCCUCCGCCACCACCUCACUACUACUACAAGUCACCACCUCCUCCUCCUCCGGUGUACUCUCCGCCACCACCCAAGAUACCUUACAAGUACCCGUCUCCUCCCCCACCAGUACACUAUCCUCCACCACCUUACGAGUACAAGUCUCCCCCUCCUCCUCCCCCAGUUUACAAGUACAAGUCUCCUCCACCUCCACCAAAGCACCCCUACAAGUAUAAGUCUCCUCCCCCACCACCUCCAGUUUACAAGUAUAAGUCCCCUCCACCACCACCACCAUCACCACCCAAGCACCCAUACCAGUACAAGUCUCCACCUCCACCACCCCCAGUUUACAAGUACAAGUCCCCUCCACCACCACCACCAUCACCACCCAAGCACCCAUACAAGUACAAGUCUCCUCCACCACCUCCUCCAGUCUACAAAUACAAGUCUCCUCCUCCUCCCCCUAAGGAGCCUUACAAGUAUAAGUCUCCUCCACCACCUCCUCCAGUUUACAAGUACAAGUCUCCUCCUCCUCCUCCUCCAAAGGAGCCAUACAAGUACAAGUCUCCCCCACCACCCCCUCCAGUCUACAAGUACAAGUCUCCUCCACCACCACCACCCCAUUACGUCUAUUCAUCACCCCCUCCUCCUCACCACUACUAAGCAACGGCUUUGACCGUACUGAGGUAAAAAAAAACAAAGUUUCAUUCAACAAGAUAACAUACAUUUUCUUCUGUAGUUUUUUUUUUGCUUAGUACGUAACACCAUUUUUCAAUAAAUGUUUUUUCAUCUCUUCAAGCUGCAUAAUUAAAUCACAAUUUUUUUG
rnacentral:lncRNA from 1 species